ACGGUUAGAUUUCGGCUAAACUUGACUAGAACAGUCGGACGAAACAAGCUAGAGUUGGAAUCUGAUAAUGCCAAGCUGGUUUCGGCCUUUCAAGCGGUGAUGGGACCUAUUUUUUUUCGAAACGGAGGCAAAAGUUUUGCCUCGUCUAUUAAUUAAGAAAAAGUGAGUCGGCUGGUUAAUUAACAUGAAGCCAGGCUAAAGCCAUCACAACCGUUGAGCGGCACACACAAGAUACCCCACACAUGCCACUCCAAAGGGUGCCUCAUCGAGACAGCACACGCGCAUCAUCGUCAUCAUUCCUCCCCUAGAGGCGUCAUCGUCAACCCUAAACCCUGAGCAAACGAAUCCAAUUUGCUGUAGGCGAUCGUCGACUCAACCCACACUGUAGAGGGCGAGUGAAGUUCUAUGAAGAUCCGCGCCAAACUCAGUCACCUACGAUCAAACAAACGUAGCUCCGACUCUGACGGAGAACAACGAAUGGCAAAACCAAGCACGACUACCCCCACGGAAGAUCACCCAAUGGUCCACCUGCACCAUUCAUCAUAUACCAUAGGGCCCCGCCGCCGCAGCUUCAACUUUACAACAACAAAACAAACCGAGGAAAUCCCGUGGACACGACGAAGAAGAGCCGACUACCACAACUAUUGUCGCGCUGCCGAUGUCGCUCCCACCAUCAUCAUUGCCACAGAAAUCUGAACCCCAAAACCACCGCCAUCCACUGGCCCCACUCACCGAUGCCGAGCUCCAAAGAUGAAGCCCCCAAGAGGGAAUACGACACCAAGGCGUCGCCAUCGUUCAAUCACACAAGAUCAAAGGUUGCGAACACUGAAAUCCCGUUUUGGUCCCCACACAUCCCUCUACAAAAGUUUACAUAUUUUGAUGCAGAUUAAAGGUGAAGAUUAUAAGUUACCCCUUCAAUAAAAAAAUGUUUUGAUCUCUUAUUCAGUCCAUUGGGAGAACGAGGAUCAAUGAGAAGGGGUUGUUGGUGCUAUAAUCUGUGACCAUUGAGAAGAUGAGCUUCUGUUUCGAUGCUUUUACCGCAAAGGCGACAACUGUUAGAUUUCGGCUAAACUUGUCUAGAACAGUCCGAUAUGACAAGGUAGAGCUGGAAUCUGAUAACGCCGAGGUGGUUUCGGUCUUGCAAGAGGGAAGAUUGAGUUCAGUGACGCGACCUAUCUUUGAUGAUUCCUACUACAUGAUUCAGGACUUUAAGCAUGUUUUUGUUCACUCGUUGUGACAGGAAGAGUAAUCAAGUUGCCCAUGAAAUAACGAAGUUAGGUGGAUUUUCUAUCCCCGGUACCUGGAUGGAGUCACCUCUAGUUGAGGUGGUCUCGUUUAUUAUAUUUGAUACGCUGGUUCUCACAAAUAAUUAAAUAAAAUAUCAUUUGUCAGAAAAAGAAUUAAAAUUAGUUGAUUGUGAGUGUCCGAGAAUACCCUUUUAAAUAAUUUUAAGAUUCGUGUAAACUUUUCAGGUGGUGUACCGAAGCAAAACGAGUGAAAGGCAAGAAACCACCACAUUUGCGCCAUCACUAGCAGGAAAGAUGUUUUGUAAGGGAUUUUGUAGAAACAAUCGUGUGCAGACGUUGAUCGCUCGUUUUGGCUCCGUUAAUCCCUAAACUGACAGACCGGGCCCGCUUGCAGAUGUUGACGUGGCAAAACAUAUCAAUUGCAUACAGAUCAAGAGUUUGAAUAACCUAGCCCCUGCGUCGCCCCUCCCGCGGGCGACUCGGGCGGCGCCGCCACCUCCUACCGCUCGCCCUCCCCCUCCUCCCCUUCCCCGCCACCGCCGGCCAAAGCCGCCGGGGCAAAGCCCCCCGCGGUGGCUGGCAGCGGGGGCCUUCUCCCCUCCUCGCGUCCAUGGCCUGCGGGGGCGGCCAGGCCGGGCGAAGGCGCCGGGGCGCGUGGAUCCUGGCGGCGCGCGGCGACGAUCUUGACGGAUGCGGGCCCGAUGGCACGGUUGCAGAUGGGUCGACGUCUUGCUGUGUGGCGGCUGCGUGCGGGUCUCCUCGUGGCGGCGACCUUCGCUGGCGGCGGGGCGACACGUGCGCGGCAUCCGGCGAGGGGUAGGCACGCGGCCACGGUGGCUUCCCGUGCGACCGGAGGUACGCGGAGAAGAGGUUGCGGCGUGUGCCCUCGGGGAGGAUGGAUAUUCUCGCCCAGAUCCGGCGGCGGCAUGGCGGCGGAGGUCGCAGUGGCCGGUCGGCGGUGGCGGAACAAGGCCGGUGGCAGCGAGAAUGUUCUGUCUGGAUCCCGGGGCGGCGACCCUUUUCUAAUGUCAAGUAUCAUUUCCUUAGACCAUGAGAUUGUGCAACUCCCGGAUACCGUAGGAAUACUUUGGGUGUGCCAAACGUCACAACGUAACUGGGUGGCUAUAAAGGUGCACUACGGGUAUCUCCGAAAGUGUCUGUUGGGUUGGCACGAAUCAAGACUGGGAUUUGUCACUCCGUGUGACGGAGAGGUAUCUCUGGGCCCACUCGGUAGGACUGAAGGAAAUAUGCCCUAGAGGCAAUAAUAAAGUUAUUAUUUAUUUCCUUAUAUCAUGAUAAAUGUUUAUUAUUCAUGCUAGAAUUGUAUUAACCGGAAACAUAAUACAUGUGUGAAUACAUAGACAACAAAGUGUCACUAGUAUGUCUCUACUUGACUAGCUCGUUAAUCAAAGAUGGUUAUGUUUCCUAACCAUAAACAAGUAGUUGUUAUUUGAUUAACGGGAUCACAUCAUUAAGUGAAUGAUCUGAUUGACAUGACCCAUUUCACUAGCUUAGCACCCGAUCGUUUAGUAUGUUGCUAUUGCUUUCUUCAUGACUUAUACAUGUUCCUAUGACUAUGAGAUUAUGCAACUCCCAUUUACCAGAGGAACACUUUGUGUGCUACCAAACGUCACAACGUAACUGGGUGAUUAUAAAGGAGCUCUACAGGUGUCUCCAAAGGUACAUGUUGGGUUGGCGUAUUUCGAGAUUAGGAUUUGUCACUCCGAUUGUCGGAGAGGUAUCUCUGGGCCCUCUCGGUAAUGCACAUCACUUAAGCCUUGCAAGCACUGCAACCAAUGAGUUAGUUGCGGGAUGAUGUAUUACAGAACGAGUAAAGAGACUUGCCGGUAACGAGAUUGAACUAGGUAUUUGGAAUACCGACGAUCGAAUCUCGGGCAAGUAACACAUCGAUGACAAAGGGAACAACGUAUGUUGUUAUGCGGUCUGACCGAUAAAGAUCUUCGUAGAAUAUGUAGGAGCCAAUAUGAGCAUCCAGGUUCCGCUAUUGGUUAUUGACCGGAGACAUGUCUCGGUCAUGUCUACAUUGUUCUCGAACCCGUAGGGUCCGCACGCUUAAGGUUACGAUGACAGUUAUAUUAUGAGUUUAUACAUUUUGAUGUACCGAAGUUUGUUCGGAGUCCCGGAUGUGAUCACGGACAUGACGAGGAGUCUCGAAAUGGUCGAGACAUAAAGAUUGAUAUAUUGGAAGCCUAUGUUUGGAUACCGGAAGUGUUCCGGGUGAAAUCGGGAUUUUACCGGAGUACCGGGAGGUUACCGGAACCCCUCGGGAGCUAAAUGGGCCAUGAUGGGCCUUAGUGGAAAAGAGAAGAGGCAGCCCUACAUGGGCCGCGCGCCCCUCCCCUCCCUUGGUCCGAAUAGGACAAGGAGAGGGGGCCGGUCCCUCUCUCUCUUUUCCCCCCUCCGCGACUCCUAUUCCAACUAGGAUUGGGGGGGGGGGAUCCUACUCCCAGAGGGAGUAGGACUCUCCUGGCGCGCCCUCCUUGGCCGUCCGCCUUCCCCCCUUUAGUCCUUUAUAUACGGAGGCAGGGGCACCCUAGAUACACACAAGUUGAUCCACGUGAUCUAUUCCUUAGCCGUGUGCGGUGCCCCAGCCACCAUAGUCCUCGAUAAUAUUGUAGCGGUGCUUAGGCGAAGCCCUGCAGCAGUAGUACGUCAAGAUCGUCACCACGCCGUCGUGCUAACAGAACUCUUCCCCGACACUUUGCUGGAUCGGAGUCCGGGGAUCGUCAUCGAGCUGAACGUGUGCUAGAACUCGGAGGUGAUGUAGUUUCGGUGCUUGAUCGGUCGGAUCGUGGAGACGUACGACUACAUCAACCAAACGCUUCCGUUGUCGAUCUACUAGGUAUGUAGAUCAUACUCCCCCUCUCGUUGCUAUGCAUCAUCAUGAUCUUGUGUGUGCGUAGGAAUUUUUUUGAAAUUACUACGAAACCCAACAAGGACAUCAUCAUAAUGUGCACAAUGUGAUCAAGGAGUUGAUCAUGGGAUGAUGUGUUAUGGAACGAGUAAAGAGACGAUGAUGGAGAUCAUGAUGAUGGAGAUCAUGGUGUCAUGCCGGUGACGAUGAUGAUCAUGGAGCCCCGAAGAUGGAGAUCAAAAGGAGCAAAGUGAUGAUGGCCAUAUCAUGUCACUAUUUGAUUGCAUGUGAUGUUUAUCAUGUUUUUACAUCUUAUUUGCUUAGAACGACGGUAGUAAAUAAGAUGAUCCCUCAUUAAAAUUUUAAGAAAGUGUUCCCCCUAACUGUGCACCGUUGCGAAAGUUCGUCAUUUCGAAGCACCUCGUGAUGAUCGGGUGUGAUAGAUUCUUACGUUCACAUACAACGGGUGUAAGCCAGAUUUACACACGCGAAACACUUAGGUUGACUUGACGAGCCUAGCAUGUACAGACAUGGCCUCGAAACACAAGAGACCCAAGGUUGAACCCAAACCCGAGACUAAGUGCUUCUGUAAUAAGGGGAACAACAACUGGAGCAGAAUUACCCUAGAUACUUGGUAGAUGAGAAGGCUGGCAAGGUCGAUAGAAGUAUAUUGGAUAUACAUUGUGUUAAUGUGUACUUUACUAGUACUCCUAGUAGACUGAAACCCAUAGGCUGCACGCUAUUGCACCAUUGUCAAGCCAAGCAGUUCUCUGCUGAAUCUUCUGUUCUUUGCCUCUUCUGUGGCCGCUUAUCAUCUAAGCCUAGGCGCUGAUCCACCUUCACUGAAUAGGAUAGAACCCUCAAUUUUAAAAUCCAGACAUUCUUAUUGGACUGCUCAAGUUAGCACCAAAGAUACAGAAUGAGUUCAAAAGAUUCUGUGGAUCGAAUUCUUUUGUCAUUCCCAGGGAAGUUGCUCUGCUCACACACACAAACAAAAAAAAAUUGAAUAUCCAUGAAAAUUGAUCAAAUUAAGCAGAAAAAAGAGUUAGAAAGUGGAAAUAUUUCUUACCCAAGGAGGGAAUCCAAAUAUUCAGCUACAGCAGAGAGUACUUGCGGACAUAUGUUGUGCUUCUUGGCAAGAGAUAGGCAAAGAGUUCAUUCUGAAUUUUACCCACGAAAACCAGCAGUACUUUUAUUUUUCCUAGGAAUAGAAAGAAUUUGGUGAAGCUUGUUUUGUUCUAGGUGUAUAAACAUCAAACUACUUUUGUUAUUUUAAAUCGAACUUCUUUGUUUUAUUUUUUAGUAAUGGAAGAAAUUCGAGUUACGCUAUAAACAUUGAACCUCUUCGUUUUUUAUUUUGAACUUCCGGGUUUCUUUAGAAAAGGGGAAAACCUGGGGUUUCCAUUAACAUCGAGCUACUUUUUUUAUUUGGACUUCUUGGAUUUAUUCUUUUGUAGCGGGAAAAUUUUGAGUUUGAUAGCAAAACAUCGAUCUGGUCCGUUUUUCUUAUAUGGACUUCUAGUUUUUUAGAAACAAGGGAAAUCUGUUUUCUACUUAAACUUUUCUGAACUAUUUUUGUUAUUUUAAUUUGACCUUCCACUGUGAGAUAUUUUGAUGGUGUGUUCCUCUUUUAUUCGAACGUGUUGCAAUGAACAUUUUUAGGUUUCAUUUUAUUACUUUCCCUCAUCCGAACUUGUGGUGUUGGCACACGAGCACACACAAAACACAUUUUUCGCAUGUGAUUUUUGCAUACUACAUUUGUUUUAUAAGAUAUUCUGCAUACUAACAUUUUUCUUGUGGUCGAGGUACUAAGGUAUUAAGACAAGCACCUUGUGUGCUACGGAGGACAUGCAUGCACAAGGCACAUGAAUCAGAAUAGUAUUAAAACAUUUUGUUUGCAAAUCAAGCGAAAAAAUAAACUGUGGAUACAUGAAGCCAUGCGUCCAAUACCCACAAUGAAAUAAUAAUGAGUACAAAGUAAUUCCACAAAUGUGCACAAUAGCAUGGACCCCAUGGAUUAUGUUCAGUGGUAGCUCCCUCUGAAGAAUGCAUAACAAAAAUUAUAAUGCAGAACAACAGUGGUUAAGCAAUAAAGAUUCAAGCCUUUUCAAUUAUUGCAAUGUACAUGUUCAGAGAUUUUUCACUAGCAAUUAUUCUAGUGUGCUGCCAUCUGAAACUUUGGCUCUAGUUGUAAACACACGCUUCAGACUUCAUAGACCAACAACUAACUAAUGGGAGCGAUCAAAGUUUCAGGUACUGUAUAGAAAAAACGCACCAAAUGGAGGGAUAUGCAAUGCAAGGACUCACACAUUCACACUAGGAGUUUUACUGUCGCAAACCCAGCCAGCAAACGUGAGUACAUUUGAACCCACGCUGAGAUCUUAACUGAACUUUUUGGCCAGUGAGACUUGGACGUCUCAGAGAAACUACUAGAUGAACUUUGAUCAGUGUCAAAAACCACACGUAGCACGCACACAUCUCGCCAGGAGGCCUACGGCCGCGUCACAAGGCAGGUUGAGCUACAGCUGCGGCCUGUAAGGAGCCAUGGCUGUGACAACUCUGGUUGUGACAGGGAUGAGCAAGAUGCUGGGAUCCAGCUUACCUCGCGCGGUACUGGUGAACGGCGGCAACUGGAAUCGUUGGACUGCAGCGGCGGGGUGGAGCUGGAGGAUGUGGCCAUGGCAGCACACUAGAAAAAUACACAAGUACCCGAAACAGGUACGUUCCAAGGAAAAGCCUCAACAGUAGUAGCACUAGGCACUAGCAAUCACACAGGCUACCUACGGAUGCACACCGAGCCGCUACAUGCACGCACACCACUCGCAUACACAAGUACACAACACAGGAAACAAACGGCGUGCCAGCACGCAUGCACACGGCCACGCUCACCGCCUCCGCACGCAGCAUCACACACGCACACCAUUGGGCAGGUGCUAAGUGCUAGAGAAGGGGCGACCUCAGGGACGAUGAGGCACUGGUGGGAGGACGACCUGGGAACAUGGUCGAUGAUCGGCGACAGGCGCUCAUACGAAGUAUUCCUUCCAGGCGUGGAUACGUCGUACUGCUGUCGGUUAUUUUGUUGAACUGAUACAGGAGAACUCCAGCAAAUAUUUUUUGGAAAUAUACUGAAGAAACGCUACAGUUUUUGGCUGCAAGAAGUGUUGUUGUCCUUACUGACGACGCAUCCCCGGAUGGAUCGUUGGAGGACAGAACGAGAGGGAGAGGCCGUUGUCCGCGUCGGCGACGUGCUGUGCUCGGGGACGGAGUAGAUCACCAGAUCAGCAGCACCUCCCACGUGCUAGCGCUCUGUUGGAUUCGUGGCCUCCCAUUGUCCUCGACGCAGUAGGUAGCCAAGGGCGACGACGUCGGUGAGAUGUCCUUCGCUUUUGAGCAGUUCGUCGGGGGAUGGGGCUGAAUUGGUGGCCGGACGCGUGGAUCUUGCCAGCUGGCCAGGGGUCGAACUGACGCGGCUGGCCAGGCUGAACUUCACAGGAGCCUACCUCCGCGGAUGAGAGGGCGGGAUGGAGGACGCCACCAUAGAUGCACUGUGCUCGGGGGAUGGAGGAGGAACGAGAGGGAGGAGGCCGUUGUCCGCGUCGCGCUUGGGGGCGGAGGCUCGCCGGAGCAGCAUCGCCGUGAGCAGCCGCCGGAUCCAGUGGCUAGCGCUCAGAUCGGCGGCCAUCGACGAUGCCUUGUAGGUGGCCGAGGGCGGUGACGGGCAGGCGGUGGUGGUGGGAGCAUCCCAGGGCAGAGAGGAGGCUGGAUGUGGGCAGGUGGCUGCGGUGGUGAGGGAAGGUAGCGGGGAGGGGGUCGGGUGACACGGUGGCAGGAGGCGGCUACGUUUGGUCGGUAGCGGCAGGUGGCCGGAGUCAGGUGGAGGUGAGGUGAUGCGAGGGCACGGCGGCUGCGCCGACACGUGGGGCGGGGCUGCGUUCGAUGGAAACGAGGCGGGUUGGAUGGGGCCGGGUGGUUUGUUUUUUGUUUUCCAGAGUUCGGGAACACCUGCAUCGGCCCUAUAUAGAGGCGCCGUGAUUCAAAUAGUUAUUCUAAUUCUGGAAUUAGAAUAGUGCCACUAUAUAUAUAUUGCUGUUAUAAGAAUAAUCAUGAUGCCUUAUGUCCGUAUUUUAUUUUAUCGACACCUCUACCUCUAAACAUGUGGACAUAUUUAUCGUUAUCGGCUUCUGCUUGAGGACAAGCGAGGUCUAAGCUUGGGGGAGUUGAUACAUCCAUUUUGCAUUAUACUUUUAUAUUAAUAUUUAUUGCAUUAUGGGCUGUCACGUUAUGUCACAAUACUUAUGCAUAUUCUCUCUUAUUUUAUAAGGUUUACAUGAAGAGGGAGAAUGCCGGCAGCUGGAAUUCUGGGCUGGAAAAGGAGCAAAUAUUAAAGACCUAUUCUGCACAGCUCCAAAAGUCCUGAAACUUCAUGGAAGUCCUUUUUCGAAUUAAUAGAAAAUAUUGAACGAAGAAAAUACCAGAGGGGGCCACACGCUGGCCACGAGGGUGGUAGGCGCGCCCCCUGCCUCGUGGGCCCCGUGGUGGCCCUCCGGUGCCCAUCUUCUGCUAUAUGAAGUGUUUCGUCCGAGAAAAAUCAUAAGCAAGCUUUCGGGAAGAAAUUCCGCCACCACGAGGCGGAACCUUGGCAGAACCAAUCUAGGGCUCCGGCAGAGCUGUUCUGCCGGGGACACUUCCCUCCGGGAGGGGGAAAUCAUCGCCAUCGUCAUCACCAACACUCCUCUCAUCGGAAGGGGGCCAAUCUCCAUCAACAUCUUCACCAGCACCAUCUCCUCUCAAACCCUAGUUCAUCUCUUGCAUCCAAUCUUUGUCCCAAAGCCUCAGAUUGGUACCUGUGGGUUGGUAGUAGUGUUGAUUACUCCUUGUAGUUGAUGCUAGUUGGUUUAUUUGAUGGAAGAUCAUAUGUUCAGAUCCUAUAUGCAUAUUAAUACCCCUCUGAUUAUGAACAUGAAUAUGAUUUGUGAGUAGUUACGUUUGUUCCUGAGGACAUGAGAGAAGUCUUGCUAUUAGUAGUCAUGUGAAUUUGGUAUUCAUUCGAUAUUUUGAUGAGAUGUAUGUUGCCUUUCCUCUAGUGGUGUUAUGUGAAUGUCGACUACAUGACACUUCACCAUUAUUUGGGCCUAGAGGAAGGCAUUGGGAAGUAAUAAGUAGAUGAUGGGUUGCUAGAGUGACAUAAGCUUAAACCCUAGUUUAUGAGUUGCUUCGUAAGGGGCUGAUUUGGAUCCAUAUGUUUCAUGCUAUGGUUAGGUUUACCUUAAUACUUUUUUGUAGUUGCGGAUGCUUGCAAUAGGGGUUAAUCAUAAGUGGGAUGCUUGUCCAAGUAGGAAAGCACCGAAGCACCGGCUCAUCCACAUAUCAAAUUAGCAAAGUACUGAACACGAAUCAUAAGAACGUGAUGAAAACUAGCUUGACGAUAAUUCCCAUGUGUCGUCGGGAGCGCUUUUCUCUAUAUAAGACUGGUCCAGGCUUGUCCUUUGCUACAAAAAGGAUUGGGACAUCUUGUUGCACUUUAUUUAUACUUGUUACUUGUUACCCGUUACAAAUUACCUUAUCACAAAACUAUCUGUUACCUUAUCACAACUAACCUGGAUAGUUGUGCUAGUUGUGUUUCCAGGGAAAGAACAGCUGAUGAAGCUGAAAUUCUAUUGAAUAAUAUGUUGACCAAUGAAAAUAAUUGGACACUUCCUGAACCAACUCCUAAGCCAACUCCGAGAAAAGCGGUGUUCUAUUUCUUAGUCCGGAAGAUAUGCAAGAGGCAAAGAAAUCUAUGAAGGAAAAAGGUAUUAAAGCUGAGAAUGUUAAGAAUUUACCUCCUAUUGAAGAAAUACAUGGUCUUAAUUUACCGCCUAUUGAAGAAACACAUGGUCUUGAUAACCCGACAAUGGUAGUAAAGGUAAAUUCUCUCUAUAGAUUUGAUGAAGGUGAUAUUCCUCGUUAUAAGUCCGCUAGCCAAUGCUUAGAUGAGUUUGAUAAUUUUAUUGUCAAACAAGAAAACUUCAAUGCUUACGUUGGUAGAAAAUUGAAACAAAAUUCUUAUAUGAUUGAACACUUGAGUGAUUACAUGUCUAGAGUUAAUGGUGAACUUAAACUCAUUAGUAAGCAUGCCUCUAUGGUUACCACUCAAGUAGAACAAGUACUUAAAGCUCAGAAUGAUUUGCUCAAUGAAUUAAACAACAAGAAAAAUGAUAAUGCUAUUAGAGUUGUGACUAGAGGGGGUAGAAUGACUCAGGAACCCUUGUAUCCUGAGGGCCACCCUAAGAGAAUUGAGCAAGAUUCUCAGAGAACUAAUGUUGAUGCACCUAGUACUUCUAAGAAGAAGAAAAAGAAAAAUGAUAGGACUUUGCAUGCUUAUAGUCAACCUAUUGUAGACACACUUGAGAAUCCCAAUGAUAUUUCUAUUUCUGAUGCUGAAACACAAUCUGGUAAUGAACAUGAACCUAGUGAUAAUGUUAACGAUGAUGUUCAUGUUGAUGGUCAACCUAGCAAUGACAAUGAUGUAGAAAUUGAACCAGCUGUUGAUCUUGACAACGCACAAUCAAAGAAUCAACGUUAUGAUAAGAGAGACUUUGUUGCUAGGAAGCACAGUAAGGAAAGAGAACCAUGGGUUCAGAAACCCAUGCCUUUUCCUCCCAAACUAUCCAAGAAAAAGGAUGAUGAGGAUUUUGAGCGCUUUGCUGAAAUGAUUAGACCUGUCUUUUUGCGUAUGCGUUUGACUGAUAUGCUCAAAAUGAAUCCUUAUGCUAAGUACAUGAAAGAAAUUGUUACAAAUAAAAGAAAGAUACCAGAAGCUAAAAUUUCCACCAUGCUUGCUAAUUAUACUUUUAAGGAUGGAAUACCUAAGAAACUUGGAGAUCCAGGAGUACCCACUAUACCAUGCUCCAUUAAAAGAAACUAUGUUAGAACAACUUUAUGUGAUCUUGGAGCUGGUGUUAGUGUUAUGCCUCUCUCUUUAUAUCGUAGACUUGAUUUGAAUAAGUUGACACCUACUGAAAUAUCUUUGCAAAUGGCUGAUAAAUCAACUGCUAUGCCUGUCGGUAUUUGUGAGGAUCCACCUGUUGUGGUUGCAAACGUUACUAUUGUAACAGACUUUGUUAUUCUUGAUAUUCCCGAGGACGAUAAUAUGUCUAUUAUUCUUGGAAGACCAUUUUUAAAUACUGCAGGGGCUGUUAUUGAUUGCAAGAAGGGCAAUGUCACUUUUCAGGUUAAUGGUAAUGAGCAUACGGUACACUUUCCGAGGAAACAAUCUCAAGUUCAUAGUAUCAACUCUAUUGGAAUAAUUCCAUCGAUUAAUUUUGGAGGUUUUGAAUUUCCUCUUCCUACUGGCAAGAAGAAAUAUGAUAUUCUUAUUAUUGGGGACGUGCAUAUCCCCGUUGAGGUAACCUAGUGUUAUUCAAAAUUUCUCCGGUUCCAUGUUAUUCGUAAUGAGUUUGUUUACAAGACUUGAUCAACCUUGUUAGUAGAUUUCUUUCGAUGAGCAUGAGAUGGAUGAAGUUAGAAAGCACAACUCUUUAUACCCUCCUUUUAUUUUCUGUUACUUAGAAUAAAUAAAGUAAAAAUAGUAUUUUCUGUCAGUUUUCUGAAUUAUUCGUGCAAUAAAAAAUACCCCGAAAAUAAAAGUUCUCCAAAUGCCCCGAAAAUGAAAUAUGUUUUUUCUAGAAUAUUUGAGAAUAUCUGGCACUGAGAACACAACGGGGGGAGAUGGCACCUGGCCACGAGGGUCCAGGGCGCGCCCCCUGCCUCGUGGGCCCAAAGUGGCUCCCCUCCACUUAUUCCAGCCACCACACACUCCUUCUUCCUCCCAAAAAAAUCACCAACCAGCUCAAGCACGAGUUCUUGCUCAUCUUGCUGCCAUUUUUGAUAUGCUUGCUCAAAGCACCUCUCACAAAACUGCUUUGGGGGAUUGUUCCUUGGUAUGUGACUCCUCCAAUGGUCCAAUUAGUUUUUGUUCUAGUGCUUUAUUCAUUGCAAAUUUGUGCUUCCUAGGUGACCAUGUUCUUGAGCUUGCAUGUCAAAUUUAUAUGGUUCCAAGUAGUUCUAAUGCAUGACGAUAUAGUCUCUAGGCACUUGUAGGAGUAGUUGCUAUCAAUUUUGUUGAGCUUGGUUCACUUUUAUUUGAAGUUACUAAAAUUUUCAGAAAUUUUUCAGAGGAAGAAAUAUGUUUAGGAAAAUUUACCAAGGUGGUCCUUCAAGGAAGCAAGGACCCCGACUCGCAAUGCACGAUGCCGACGAUGAACCACCAAGGGAAGCUCAAGUGCGGGCUUGUGAAUGGCUGAUACAUCUCCAACAUAUCUAUAAUUUUUGAUUGCUCCAUGCUAUAUUAUCUACUGUUUUGGACUAUAAUGGGCUUUAUUUUCCACUUUUAUACUAUUUUUCGGACUAACCUAUUAACCGGAGGCCCAACCCAGAAUUGUUGUUUUUUGCCUAUUUCAGAGUUUUGAAGAAACAUAAUAUCAAACGGAGUCCAAAUAGAAUAAAACAUUCGGGAACGUGAUUUUCUCACCGAACGUGAUCCAGGAGACUUGGACCCUACUCCAAGGAACAAAAGAGUCGGUCACGAGGGUGGGGGGCGCGCCCCUGCCUCGUGGGCCCCCUGUUGCUCCACCGACGUACUACUUCCUCCUAUAUAUAUCUACGUACCCCCGAACGAUCAGAAUAGGAGCCAAAAACCUAAUUCCACCGCCGCAACCUUCUGUAUCCAUGAGAUCCCAUCUUGGGGCCUGUUUUGGAGCUCCGCCGGAGAGGGCCGUCAUCACGGAGGGCUUCUACAUCAUCCUAGCCCCUCCGAUGAAGUGUGAGUAGUUCACCUCAGACCUACGGGUCCAUAGUUAUUAGCUAGAUGACUUCUUCUCUCUUUUUGGAUCUCAAUACAAUGUUCUCCCCCUCUCUUGUGGAGAUCUAUUCGAUGUAAUCUUCUUUUUGCGGUGUGCUUGUUGAGACCGAUGAAUUGUGGGUUUAUGAUCAAGUCUAUCUAUGAAUAAUAUUUGAUUCUUCUCUGAAUUCUUUUAUGUAUGAUUGGUUAUCUUUGCAAGUCUCUUCGAACUAUGAGUUUGGUUUGGCCUACUAGAUUGGUUUUUCUUGCCAUGGGAGAAGUGCUUGGCUUUGGGUUCAAUCUUGUGGUGUCCUUUCCCAGUGACAGAAGGGGCAGCAAGGCACGUAUAGUAUUGUUGCCAUCGAGGAUAACAAGAUGGGUUUUUUAUCAUAUUGCACGAAACUAUCCCUCUACAUCAUGUCAUCUUGCUUAAGGCAUUACUCUAUUUUUAACUUAAUACUCUAGAUGCAUGCUGGAUAGCGGUCGAUGAGUGGAGUAAUAGUAGUAGAUGCAGGCAGGAGUCGGUCUACUUGUCUCGGACGUGAUGCCUAUAUACAUGAUCAUACCUAGAUAUUCUCAUAAUUAUGCUCAAUUCUGUCAAUUGCUCAGUUGUAAUUUGUUCACCCACCAUAGAAUACUUAUGCUCUUGAGAGAAGCCACUAGUGAAACCUAUGGCCCCAGGGUCUAUUUACCUCAUAUUAAUCUCUAUCACUUUAAUCUCGCUUGCUUUUUACUUUGCCUUUUUACUUUUCACUUUGCAUCUCUAUAUCAAAAAUACCAAAAAUAUUAUCUAUCAUCUCUAUCAGAUCUCACCCCCGUAAGUAACCGUGAAGGGAUUGACAACCCCUAAUCGCGUUGGUUGCGUGGAGCUAUUGUUUUUGUGUAGGUACGAGGGACUUGGGCGUGGCCUCCUACUGGAUUGAUACCUUGGUUCUCAAAAACUGAGGAAAUACUUACGCUACUUUGCUGCAUCAUCCUCUCCUCUUCGGGGAAAUCCAACGUAGUGCUCAAGAGGUAGCAAUGGCCGUCAGAGGACUUCAUGGAUCGAGCACGAAUCAAGGAAGAAUUUAACGCAUAUGUGCGUAACACUGAUCUUGUGAGCUUUGAGGCAGAUAAGUGCCGUCAGUACCACUAUCUCACUGAUUCCUCUGUGGAGGUUUGAAUUUUCAUCUUCACGCAAUUCUCAAACUGUCCUGUUUGAUCUUUAUGAAAAUUCAUAUACUAUGGACUUAGAGGAUUUCAAUACUGCUUGCAAACUUCCACAAUGGGCUAGUCCUAGUGAACCUCGCAAAUCUGAGUUUAGAGAUUUUCUUGCUAGUAUAACUGUGGGGGAGUCUAGAGAUAUAACACAAGCUACCAUAGGGAGCAUUCAUUUUCCUGCUAUACAUUAUUUUGCUCCCUUCAUAGGUAGGUGCAUAAAUGAUAAGGAUGAAGCAUGUCACAUGUGUGUCCCUGAUCUCAGUGUUCUCAGGAGUGCUGUAUUAGGAGAUAAACAUUAUAAUUUGGGGGCCAUUGUUGCACGUAGGUUGCAUAAUAAUAGAAUUAAUGAAGAUUUCUUUGGUGGAAUUUAUGCAACCCGUCUAGCUAAUUUUCUUGAUAUACCCAUACGUGAGCAUGAUAUUGAGUUGCCUCCUGUUUAUUUAGAUUAUGAGGCUAUGGUUCGUCAUCAGUUUGUUGAGAGCAACGAUAAGUUCCUCCUGUACAGACUAACCUUGACAGACGACGCACCUAUCACGUCGCUCUCCCUGCUCCUACUUUCUUUGACUUUCAGGCAAAGGGGAGAUAUGUCAUAACUAGGGAGGAGGCAAAUGAGCAUGAGAGGAGGACGAUGGCAGCUCGCCUCCAAGCUGUAGCCCACGAAGCAAUAGCCGCUGCAUCUCAGUACGAGCACAGUUACAACUUCAGAUAUCCGCCAGGCCAGCCGUGGCAAUGAACCAACUUAGGCCAAAAGCCUAAGCUUGGGGGAGUGUGUAUUUCUCACCGACAUUAUAUUCAUAUUCACACACUCAUGCUAGUUGUCGGUGCUCAUACUUUUUCACUUUAAUAUCCAUGUUAGUUUAUUUUCCUUUUUAUUCUUUCUUCUUGUGUGUUUGAUAAACCUUAAGAAAAAAACAAAAAAAAUAGUUGUAGCUUUUAGCUAGUUUACUUUCCUUGCUGUAGUAGUAACUAAAAGAAAACCCAAAAAGAUUUCCUGUUCUUCUUUUGCUUGUUGGGAGCUUUCCCGUGUAAAUAAUUUCAUUUCUUUUCUUUUCUUUGGGGGUCGAUAGAGAAGACCAUAAUGAAAAUGUUGAAGUGGCUCUUAUAUGCAUUAUUGUUGAUUUAAGAAAGAGCCCAUAUUGCCUUGUCUUCUCCUUUGUAUUGAAUGAUUGCAGAUUCCAGCUUAGUCCAAUGCACGUGCACUAUUAUUAUUAUUCACAUCGUUCGGUCGUGCAAGUGAAAGGCAAUAAUGAUGAUAUAUGAUGGACUAAUUGAGAUGAGAGAAGCUGGUAUGAACUCGACCUCUCUUGUUUUUGUAAAUAUGAUUAGUUCAUCGUUCCCGAUUCAGCCUAUUAUGAAUAAACAUGUUUGCAAUGACAAUUAGAUAUUAUAGUUGCUUAUGCCAGUUAGCUAGGAGUUUAUAAUGGUUUACCUUGCGUGCCAACAUGCUAUUAAAAUGGUUGUGAUGUGGUAUGAUAGGGUGGUAUCCUCCUUUGAAUGAUUCAAGUGACUUGACUUGGCACAUGUUCACGCAUGUAGUUGAAACAAAAUCAACAUAGCCUUCAUGAUAUUUAUGUUCAUGAUGGAUUAUAUCCUACUCAUGCUUGCACUCGAUCUUUAUUAAUUUUAAUGCAUGUUCAUGGCUGUUGUCGCUCUCUAGUUGGUCGCUUCCCAGUCUUUUGCUAGCCUCCACUUGUGCUAAGCGGGAAUACUACUCGUGCAUCCACUUCCAUAAACCCCAAAGUUAUUCCAUAUGAGUCCACUAUACCUUCCUAUAUGCGAUAUCUACAUGCCGUUCCAAGUAAAUUUGUAUGUGCCAAAUUUGGAAUGGCAGGUAGAUACCGCAUAUAGGAAGGUAUGGUGGACUCAUAUGAAAUAACUUUGGGGUUUAUGGAAGUGGAUGCACAAGCAGUAUUCCCGCUUAGUACAAGUGAAAUCUAGAAAAAGACUGGAAAGCGACCAACUAGAGAGCGACAACAGUCAUGAACGUGCAUUAAAAUUAAUUAACAUUGAGUGCAAGCAUGAGUAGGAUAUAAUCCGCGAUGAACAUAAAUAUCGUGGAGGCUAUGUUGAUUUUGUUUCAACUACAUGCGUGAACAUGUGCCAAGUCAAGUCACUCAAAUCGUUCAAAGGAGGAUACCACACCAUCAUACCACAUGACAAUCAUUUUAAUAGCAUGUUGGCACGCAAGGUAAACCAUUAUAAACUCCUAGCAAGUUAAGCAUGACAUAAGCAACUAUAAUCUCUAAUUGUCACUGCAAACAUGUUUCAUUCAUAAUAGGCUGAAUCAGGAAUGAUGAACUAAUCAUAUUUAUAAAAACAAGAGAGGUCGAGUUCAUACCAGCGUCACUCAUCUCAAUCAAUCCAUCAUAUAUCAUCAUUAUUGCCUUUCACUUGCACGACCGAACGGUGUGAAUAAUAAUAAUAGUGCACGUGCAUUGGACUAAGCUGGAAUCUGCAAGCAUCUGAUACAAAGGAGAAGACAAGGUAAUAUGGGCUCUUGAUUAAAUCAACAAUAAUGCAUAUAAGAGCCACUUCAACAUUUUCAUUAUGGUCUUCUCCUCUCGAACCCCAAAGAACAAGAAAAGAAAUAAAACUAUUUACACGGGAAAGCUCCCAACAAGCAAAAGAAGAAUGAGAAAUCUUUUUGGGCUUUCUUUUUAAUUAUUACUACUGCAAGCAUGGAAAGUAAACUAGCUAAAAUCUACAACUAAUUUUUUUGGUUUUUCUUAAGGUUAUUCGAACACAUAAGAAGAAAGCGAGGAAAGAAAAUAAACUAGCAUGGAUAGUACAAUGGAAAAGUAUGAUCACCAACAACUAGAAUGAGUGUGUGAACAAGAAUGUAAUGUCGGUGAGAAAUACGUACUCCCCCAAGCUUAGGCUUUUGGCCUAAGUUGGUCUAGGGGCAUGGCUGGCCUGGCGGAUAUCCAAAGUUGUAGCUGGGGUCGUACUGAGAUGCAGCAGCUAUUGCCUCAUGAGUUGCAGCUUGGAGGCGGGCUGCCUCCAUCCUCCUCUUAUAUUCGUUCGCCUCCUCCCUGGUUAUCACAUAUCUCCCUUUUGCCUGAAAGUCAAAGAAAGUAGGAGCAGGGAGAGCAACAUGGAAAGUGCGGCUCCUGUCAAACAUUAGUCGGUACUAGAGAGGCUGUUCGUUCCUCUCAAUAAACUGAUGGCGAACCAUAGAAUUAUAAUCUAGAUAAGUGGGAGGCAAUUCCAUAUCAUUUUCAUGUAUGGGUAUCUCAAGAAAAUUAGCCACACGAGUUGCAUAAAUCCCACCAAACAAGUCUCCACUUAAACCAUUAUUAUGCAACCUUCGUGCAACAAUGGCCCCCAAGUUAUAUUGUUUAUCUCCUAAAACAACACUCUUGAGAACACUAAGAUCUGGAACACACAUAUGACAUGCCUCAUCCUUACCGUUUAUGCAUCUACCUAUAAAGAGAGCAAAAUAAUGUAUAGCAGGAAAGUGAAUGCUCCCUAUGGUAGCUUGUGUUAUUUCUCUAGAUUCCCCCACAGUGAUACUAGCAAGAAAAUCUUUAAAUUCAGAUUUGCGAGGUUCACUAGCACUACCCCAUUGCGGAAGUUUACAAGCAGUAUUAAAAUCUUCAAAGUCCAUAGUAUAAGAUUUACCAUAGAGAUCAAAUAGGACAGUGUUAUAAUUACACGAAGAUGAAAAUUUGAACCUUCUCACAUAGGAAUCAGUUAGGUAAUAAUAUUGAGAGCACUUAUCUAGCAUGAAGCCCUCAAGUUCAGCAUUACACACAUAUGCGUCAAAUUCCUCCUUAAUUCCUGCUCGAACCAUGAAAUCUUCUGACGGCCAUUCACAAGGCCGCACUUGAGCUUCUCUUGGGGGUUCAUGGUCCGACUCACAUGUUGCGGGCCUGGGUCCUUGCUUCAUUGAAGAACCACCUUGAUACAUUUUCCUAAACAUAUUUCUUCCUCUGAAAAAUUUCUGAAAAUUUUAGUAACUUAAAAUAAAAGUGAACCAAACUCAAUAAAAUUGAUAGCAACUACUCCCACAAGUGCCUAGAGACUAUAUCGUGCAUUAGAACUACUUGGGACCAAACAAAUUUGACAUGCAAGCUCAAGAACAGGGUCACCUAGGCAGCAAAAAUUUGCAAUGAAUAAAGCACUAGAACAAAAAUUAAUUGGACCAUUGGAGGAGUCACAUACCAAAGAACAAUCCCCCAAAGCAGUUUUGUGAAUGGAGCUUUGAGCAAGGAGAUCGAAAAUGGCAGCAAGAUGAGCUAGAACUCGUGCUUGAGCUGGUUGGUGAUUUUUUUGGGAGGAAGAAGGAGUGUGUGGUGGUUGGAAUCAGUGGAGGGGGGCCACCAGGGGCCCACAAGGCUGGGGGGUGCCCAGGGGGGUAGGCGCGCCCUGGACCCUCGUGGCCAGGUGCUUGCUCCCCCUGAUGUGUUCUCAGUUCCAGAUAUUCUCAAAUAUUCUAGAAAAAAUCAUAUUUCAUUUUUAGGGCAUUUGGAGAACUUUUAUUUUGAGGGUAUUUUUUAUUGCACGGAUAAUUCAAAAACAGACAGAAAAUACUAUUUUUGCUUUAUUUAAUCUAAAUAAUAGAAAUUAGAAGGAGCGUACAGAAGGUUGUGCUUACUAACUUCAUUCAUCUCAUGCUUAUCAAAAGGAAUCCACUAACAAGGUUGAUCAAGUCUUGUUAACAAACUCAUUCCGAAUCACAUGAAACCGGAGAAUUUUUGAAUAGCACUACGUUACCUCAACGGGGAUAUGCACAUCCCCCACAAUAAGAAUAUCAUAUUUCUUCUUGACAAUAGGAAGAGGAGAUUCAAAGCCUCCAAUAGUAAUCAUUGAAAAUUUUCCAAUAGAAUUGAUACUGUGGACUUGAGGUUGUUUCCUCGGAAAGUGUACCGUAUGCUCAUUACCAUUAACAUGAAAAGUGACAUUGCCUUUGUUGCAAUCAAUAACAUCCCUUGCAGUAUUCAAAAAGGGUCUACCAAGGAUAAUUGACAUACUAUCAUCCUCAGGAAUAUCAAGAAUAACAAAGUCUGUUAAAAUAGUAAUGUUUGCAACCACAACAGGCACAUCCUCACAAAUACCGAUAGGUAUAGCAGUUGAUUUAUCGGCCAUUUGCAAAGAUAUUUCAGUAGGUGUCAACUUAUUCAAAUCAAGUCUACGAUAUAAAGAGAGGCAUAACACUAACACCGGCUCCAAGAUCACAGAAAGCAGUUUUAACAUAGUUUCUUUUAAUGGAGCAUGGUAUAGUUGGUACUCCUGGAUCUCCUAGUUUCUUAGGUAUUCCACCCUUAAAAGUAUAAUUAACAAGCAUGGUGGAAAUUUUAGCUUCCAGUAUCUUUCUUUUAUCUGUAACAAUAUCCUUCUAUAUACUUAGCAUAAGGAUUCAUUUUAAGCAUAUCAGUCAAACGCAUACGCAAAAAGAUAGGUCUAAUCAUUUCAGCAAAGCGCUCAAAAUCCUCAUCAUCCUUUUUCUUGGAUGGUUUGGGAGGAAAAGGCAUGGGUUUCUAAACCCAUUAUUCUCUUCCUUUACCGUGCUUCCUAGCAACAAAGUCUCUCUUAUCAUAACGUUGAUUCUUUGAUUGUGGGUUAUCAAGAUCAACAGUAGGUUCAAUCUCUACAUCAUUGUUAUUGCUAGGUUGAGUAUCAACAUGAACAUCAUCAUUAAUAUUAUCACUAGGUUCAUGUUCAUCACCAAACUGUGUUUUAGCAUCAGAAAUAGAAAUAUCAUUGGGAUUCUCAGGUGUGUCUAUAACAGAUUCACUAGAAGCAUGCGAAGUCCUAUCAUUUUUCUUUUUCUUCUUUUUAGAAGGACUGAGUGCAUCAACAUUAGUUCUUUGAGAAUCUUGCUCAAUUCUCUUAGGGUGGCCCUCAGAAUACAAAGGUUCCUGAGUCAUUCUACCCCCUCUAGUCACAACUCUAACAACAUUAUCAUUUUUCUUAUUAUUUAAUCCAUUAAGCAAAUCAUUUUGAGCUUUAAGCACUUGUUCUACUUGAGUGGUAACCAUAGAAGCAUGUUUACUAAUGAGUUUAAGUUCACCUUUAACUCUAGACAUAUAAUCACUCAACUGUUCAAUCAUAUAAGCAUUUUGUUUCAAUUGUCUUCCAACAUAAGAAUUGAAGUUUUCUUGUUUAACAAUAAAAUUAUCAAACUCAUCUAAGCAUUGGCUAGCAGACUUAUAACGAGGAAUAUUACCUUCAUCAAAUCUAUAGAGAGAAUUUACCUUUACUACAUGUGUCGGGUUAUCAAGACCAUGUAUUUCUUCUACAGGCGGCAAAUUAAGACCAUGUAUUUCUUCAAUAGGAGGUAAAUUCUUAACAUCAUCAGCUUUAAUACCCUUUUCUUUCAUAGAUUUCUUUGCCUCCACUAGUAGAAAAAGGACCUAAUGUGAGACAUAUUAGUCCCGGUUCGAUUUUGGGCUGGUACUAAUGGUACCAUUAGUGCCGGUUCGAAAGGCUAUGCACUAAUGCCGGUUCGUCUUGAACCUUUAGUACCGGUUUGUGCCACGAACCGGUACUAAAGGGGUGGUGGCAGGCUGGCGUCAGGCCGGGGCCCCACNNNNNNNNNNNNNNNNNNNNNNNNNNNNNNNNNNNNNNNNNNNNNNNNNNNNNNNNNNNNNNNNNNNNNNNNNNNNNNNNNNNNNNNNNNNNNNNNNNNNNNNNNNNNNNNNNNNNNNNNNNNNNNNNNNNNNNNNNNNNNNNNNNNNNNNNNNNNNNNNNNNNNNNNNNNNNNNNNNNNNNNNNNNNNNNNNNNNNNNNNNNNNNNNNNNNNNNNNNNNNNNNNNNNNNNNNNNNNNNNNNNNNNNNNNNNNNNNNNNNNNNNNNNNNNNNNNNNNNNNNNNNNNNNNNNNNNNNNNNNNNNNNNNNNNNNNNNNNNNNNNNNNNNNNNNNNNNNNNNNNNNNNNNNNNNNNNNNNNNNNNNNNNNNNNNNNNNNNNCAUUUUUGAAAAAACAAAAGAAAAACAUAUAAUAUAUCUUUUGCAUACGAUGUCGGAAAAAACGUAUAAUAUAUCAAAAAAUUCAGCACGAAAAUCCGCAUCCGAUUUUGAUAGCCUAUGGACUGUUUGCAAUUUUUUAGAAUCCUCAAAUUCCAAAAGAAAAAAAAGAUAUUCUCAAAUUUUAGUUUUUUUAUUUUGGUUAAAUCUGGUCAAACUAUGGUCAAACUACUUAUUCAAGAAGUAUUAAUGGUACUACAUAAUUAUUCAAGAAUAUUAGUGUUACUAAAUAAUUAUUUCAAUUUUUUGAAUUUUGGUCAAAUAUAGUCAAACUAUGGUCAAACUGUGGUCAAACUAUGGUCAAACUUAUUCAAAAAAUAUUAGUGUUACUAAAUAAUUACUAUUUUUUAGAAUAAUAGUUUCAAACUCAAACGGUGAAACGUGUGACCUAAUGCUCAAGCUAAACUGCUGAGGGUUAGUAGGAUUGACAACUUACAUUUGUCAGGAAAACAACAAGUGUAGACUUGGAAAGUAGGGGGAAUAGAACUCCGAAGUUAAGCGUGCUCAGGCUGGGGGAGUGAGAGGAUGGGUGAUCGGCCGGGAAGUUACACGAUUUGGAAUGAGUAAUCCACACUUGAGCAGUUAAGAGAGGUGAUUAGAGACUAAAUCAUCAAAUAAUUCAAAAAAUUGAAAACCGAAAAAAAUCAAAAAUUAAAAAAACUCAAAAAAAUACCUUUAGUACCGAUUGGUAACACCAACCGGUACUAAAGGUCCCCCAUACCACGGCGCGAGCUCACGCCACGUGGUGGGCCUUUAGUGGCGGUUCGUGCCGAACCGGUACUAAAGGGGGGGUCUUUAGUCUCCACCCUUUAGUGUCGGUUGCAGAACCGGCACUAAAGGCCCUUACGAACCGGUUUUAAAGCUCCGUUUUCUACUAGUGCUCUUGCAUAUCUUCAGGACUGAGAAAUAGAAUGCCCCUCUUCUUUGGAGUUGGUUCAGGAAAUGUCCAAUUAUUUUCAUUAGUCAACAUAUUAUUCAAUAGCAAUUCAGCUUGAUCAACUGUUCUUUCCCUGAAAACACGACCAGCACAACUAUCCAGGUGGUCUCUGGAAGCAUCGGUUAGUCCAUUAUAAAAGAUAUCAAGUAUUUCAUUUUUCUUGAGAGGAUGAUCAGGAAAAGCAUUAAGUAUUUGGAGAAGCCUCCCCCAAGCUAGUGGGAGACUCUCUUCUUCAAUUUGCACAAAAUUAUAUAUUUCCCUUAAAGCACCUUGUUUCUUAUGAGCGGGGAAAUAUUUAGCAGAGAAGUAAUAAAUCAUAUCCUAGGGACUACGCACACAACCAGGAUCAAGAGAAUUAAACCAUGUUUUAGCAUCACCCUUUAAUGCGAACGGAAAUAACUUAAGGAUACAGUAGUAGCGAGUUUUCUCAUCAUUAGUGAAUAGGGUGGCUAUAUCAUUUAACUUAGUAAGAUGUGCCAGAACAAUUUCAGAUUCAUAGCCAUAAAAAGGAUUAGAUUCAACCAAAGUAACUAUCUCAGGAUCAACAGAGAAAUCAUAAUCCUUAUCAGUAACACAGAUAGGUGAAGUAGCAAAAGCAGGGUCAUAUUUCAUUCUAGCAUUCAAAGAUUUUUCCUUCAGCUUAACUAAUAAUUUCUUAAGAUCAUUUCUAUCAUUGCAAGCAAGAAAGUCUCUAGCAGUUUCUUCAUCCAUAACAUAACCCUCAGGCACAACAGGCAAUUCAUAUCUGGGGGGAGAAUCUUCAUCAUCACUUUCAUCAAUAUUAUCAGUUUCAAUAAUUUCAUUCUCUUUAGCCCUAGCAAGUUGUUCAUCAAGAAAUUCACCUAGUGGCACAGUAGUAUCAAUCAUAGAAGUAGUUUCAUCAUAAGCAUCAUGCAUAACAGAAGUGGCAUCAUCAAGAACAUGCGACAUAUCAGAAUUAAUGGAAGAAGCAGGUUUAGGUGUCACAAGCUUACUCAAAACAGAAGGUGAAUCAAGUGCAGAGCUAGAUGCCAGUUCCUUACCUCCCCUCGUAGUUGAGGGAAAAAUCAUAGUUCUUUCAUCUUUCAAGUUCCUCAUAGUGAUCAGCAGAUAUAAAUCCCAAGUGACUCAAAGAAUAGAGCUAUGUUCCCCGGCAACGGCGCCAGAAAAUAGUCUUGAUAACCCACAAGUAUAGUGGAUCGCGACAGUUUAAUUCAACCCGAAUUUAUUGAUUCGACACAAGGGGAGCCAAAGAAUAUUCUCAAGUAUUAGCAGUUGAGUUGUCAAAUCAACCACACCUGGAUAACUUAAUAUCUACAGCAAAGUAUUUAGUAGCAUAGUAGUAUGGAAGUAACGGUAAUAGAGAUAAAAGUAACAGUAGUAGUUUUGUAGUAAUUGUAAUAGUGGCAAAGGAAAAGUAACUAAGCAGAGAACAAUAUGUGACAAGCUCGUAGGCAUUGGAUCGGUGAUGGAGAAUUAUGCCGGAUGCGAUUCCUCAUGCAAUAAUUAUAACAUAGGGUGACACAGAACUAACUCCAAUUCAUCAAUGUAAUGUAGGCAUGUAUUCCGAAUAUAGUCAUACGUGCUUAUGGAAAAGAACUUGCAUGACAUCUUUUGUCCUACCCUCUCGUGGCAGCGGGGUCCUAUUGGAAACUAAGGGAUAUUAAGGCCUCCUUUUAAUAGAGUACCGGACCAAAGCAUUAGCACUUAGUGAAUACAUGAACUCCUCAAACUACGGUAAUCACCGGGAGUGGUCCCGAUUAUUGUCACUUCGGGGUUGCCGGAUCAUAACACAUAGUAGGUGACUAUAGACUUGCAAGAUAGGAUCAAGAACUCACACAUAUUCAUGAAAACAAAAUAGGUUCAGAUCUGAAAUCAUGGCACUCGGGCCCUAGUGACAAGCAUUAAGCAUAGCAAAGUCAUAGCAACAUCAACCUCAGAACAUAAUGGAUACUAGGGAUCAAACCCUAACAAAACUAACUCGAUUACAUGGUAAAUCUCAUCUAACCCAUCACCGUCCAGCAAGCCUACAAUGAAAUUACUCACGCAUGGCAGUGAGCAUCAUGAAAUUGGCGAUGGAGGAAGGUUGAAAAUGACGAUGGCGACAGAUUCCCCACUCCGGAGCCCCGAACGGACUCUAGAACAGCCCUCCCGAGAGAGAUUAGGGCUUGGCAGCGGCUCCGUAUCGUAAAACGCGAUGAAUCCUUUCUCUCUGAUUUUUUCUCCUCGAACAUGAAUAUAUAGAGUUGGAGUUGAGGUCGGUGGAGUACCAGGGGGCCCACGAGGCAGGGGGCGUGCCCAGGGGGGUAGGCGCGCCCCCACCCUCGUGGAUGAUACGUCUCCGUCGUAUCUACAUUUCCUAACACAUUUGCCCUUGUUUUGCACUCUAACUUGCAUGAUUUGAAUGCAACUAACCCGGACUGACGUUGUUUUCAGCAGAAUUGACAUGGUGUUAUUUAUGUGCAGAAAAAAAGUUCUCGGAAUGACCUGAAACUUCACGGAGAUUAUUUUUGGAAAUAAUAAAAAUACUAGCGAAAGAAUCAAGGCCAGGGGGCCACACCCUUUCCACGAGGGUGGGGGCGCGCCUUCCCCCCUGGGCGCGCCCCCCUACCUCGUGGGCCCCUGGUACUCCACCGACCUCAACUCCAACUCUAUAUAUUCGUGUUCGGUGAGAAAAAAAUAGAGAGGAAGAUUCGUUGCGUUUUACGAUACGGAGCCGCUGCCAAGCCCUAAACUCUCUCGGGAGGGCUGAUCUGGAGUCCGUUCGGGGCUCCGGAGAGGGGAAUCCGUCGCCAUCGUCAUCAUCAACCAUCCUCCAUCACCAAUUUCAUGAUGCUCACCGCCGUGCGUGAGUAAUUCCAUCGUAGGCUUGCUGGACGGUGAUGGGUUGGAUGAGAUUUAUCAUGUAAUCGAGUUAGUUUUGUUAGGGUUUGAUCCCUAGUAUCCACUAUGUUCUGAGAUUGAUGUUGCUAUGACUUUGCUAUGCUUAAUGCUUGUCACUAGGGCCCGAGUGCCAUGAUUUUAGAUCUGAACCUAUUAUGUUUUCAUGAAUAUAUGUGAGUUCUUGAUCCUAUCUUGCAUGUCUAUAGUCACCUACUAUGUGCUAUUAUCUGGCAACCCCAAAGUGACAAUAAUUGGGACCACUCCCGGUGAUGACCAUAGUUUGAGGAUUUCAUGUAUUCACUAUGUGUUAAUGCUUUUGUCCAGUACUCUAUUAAAAGGAGGCCUUAAUAUCCCUUAGUUUCCAUUAGGACCCCGCUGCCACGGGAGGGUAGGACAAAAGAUGUCAUGCAAGUUCUUUUCCAUAAGCACGUAUGACUAUAUUCAGAAUACAUGCCUACAUUACAUUGAUGAAUUGGAGCUAGUUCUAUGUCACCCUAUGUUAUGACUGUUACAUGAUGAACCGCAUCCGGCAUAAUUCUCCAUCACCGAUCCAAUGCCUACGAGCUUUUCACAUAUUGUUCUUCGCUUAAUUACUUUUCCAUCGCAACUGUUACAAUCACCACAAAACCCAAAAAUAUUACUUUUGCUACCGUUACCAUUACUAUCAUACUACUUUGCUACUAGAUACUUUGCUGCAAAUACUAAGUUAUCCAGGUGUGGUUGAAUUGAUAACUCAAAUGCUAAUACUUGAGAAUAUUCUUUGGCUCCCCUUGUGUCGAAUCAAUAAAUUUGGGUUGAAUACUCUACCGUCGAAAACGUUGCGAUCCCCUAUACUUGUGGGUUAACAAGACUAUUUUCUGGCACCGUUGUCGGGGAGCAUAGCUCUAUUCUUUGAGUCACUUGGGAUUUAUAUAUGCUGGUCACUAUGAAGAACUUGAAAGACAAAAGAACUAAGCUUUUUCCCUCAACUAUGAGGGGAGGGAAAGAACAACUAAUGAAGCUGAAAUUCUAUUGAAUGAUAUGUCGACUAAUGAUAAUAAUUGGACACUUCCUGAACCAACUCCUAAGCCAACUCCGAAGAAAAGGGGUGUUCUAUUUCUCAGUCUGGAAGAUAUACAAGAGGCAAAGAAAUCUAUGAAGGAAAAAGGUAUUAAAGCUGAAGAUGUUAAGAAUUUACCUCAUGUUGAAGAAAUACAUGGUCUUAAUUUACCGCCUGUUGAAGAAAUACAUUGUCCUGAUAACCCGACACGGGUAGUAAAGGUAAAUUCUCUCUAUAGAUUUGAUGAAGGUGGUAUUCCUCGUUAUAAGUCUGCUAGCCAAUGCUUAGAUGAGUUUGAUAAUUUUAUUGUCAAACAAGAAAAUUUCAAUGCUUAUUUUGGUAGACAAUUGAAAGAAAAUGCUUAUAUGAUUGAACACUUGAGUGAUUAUAUGUCUAGAGUUAAAGGUGAACUUAAACUCAUUAGUAAACAUGCUUCUAUGGUUACCACUCAAGUAGAACAAGUACUUAAAGCUCAAAAUGAUUUGCUCAAUGAAUUGAAUAGUAAGAAUAAUGACUAUGUUGUUAGAGUUGUGACCAGAGGGGGUAGAAUGACUCAGGAACCUUUGUAUCCUGAGGGUCACCCUAAGAGAAUUGAGCAGGAUUUUCAGAGAAAUAAUUUAGAUGCACCUAGUCCUCCUAAGAAGACGAAAAAGAAAAAUGAUAGGACUUUGCAUGCUUCUAGUGAACCUGUUGUAGACACACCUAAGUAUCCCAAUGAUAUUUAUAUCUCUGAUGCUGAAACACAAUCUGGUAAUGAACAUGACCCUAGUUAUAAUGUUAAUAAUGAUGUUCAUGUUGAUGCUCAACCUAGCAAUGAUAAUUAUGUAGAAAUUGAACCCGUUGUUGAUCUUGAUAACCCACAAUCAAAGAAUCAACGUUAUGAUAAGAGAGACUUUGUUGCUAGGAAGCACGGUAAAGAAAGAGAACCAUGGGUUCAGAAACCCAUGCCUUUUCCUCCCAAACCAUCCAAGAAAAAGGAUGAUGAGGAUUUUGAGCGCUUUGCUGAAAUGAUUAGACCUAUCUUCUUGCGUAUGCGUUUGACUGAUAUGCUCAAAAUGAAUCCUUAUGCUAAGUACAUGAUAGAAAUUGUUACUAAUAAAAGAAAGAUACCGGAAGCUGAAAUUUCCACCAUGCUUACUAAUUAUACUUUUAAGGGUGGAGUACCUAAGAAACUUGGAGAUACAGGAGUACCAACUAUACCAUGCUCCAUUAAAAGAAACUAUGUUAAAACUGCUUUAUGUGAUCUUGGAGCCGGUGUUAGUGUUAUGCCUCUCUCUUUAUAUCGUAGACUUUAUUUGAAUAAGUUGACACCUACUGAAAUAUCUUUGCAAAUGGCUGAUAAAUCAACUGCUAUACCUGUCGGUAUUUGUGAGGAUGUGCCUGUUGUGGUUGCAAAUGUUACUAUUUUAACAGACUUUGUUAUUCUUGGUAUUCCCGAAGACGAUAGUAUGUCUAUUAUUCCUGGAAGACCCUUUUUGAAUACUGCAGGGGCUGUUAUUGAUUGCAACAAAGGCAAUUUCACUUUUCAUGUUAAUGGUAAUGAGCAUACGAUACACUUUCCGAGGAAACAACCUCAAGUCCAUAGUAUCAAUUCUAUUGGAAAAACUCCAUCGAUUAUUAUUAGAGGUUUUGAAUUUCCUCUUCCUACUGUCAAAAAGAGAUAUGAUAUUCUUAUUGUUGGGGAUGUGCAUAUCACCUUGAGGUAAAAUAGUGUUAUUCGAAAUUUCUCCGGUUCCAUGAUAUUCGGAAUGAGUUUGUUAACAAGACUUGAUCAACCUUGUUAGUAUAUUCCUUUCGAUGAUCAUGAGAUGGAUGAAGUUAGAAAGCACAACCUUCUGUACCCUCUUUUUACUUUCGGUUAUUUAGUCGAAAUAAAGAAAAAAUAGUAUUUUUUGUCUGUUUUUUGAAUUACCCAUGCAAUAAAAAAAUAUACCCCGAAAAUAAAAGUCCUCUAAAUGUCCCGAAAAUGGAAUAUGAUUUUUUCUGUAAUAUUUGAGAAUAUGUAGCACUGAGAACACAGUAGGUGGAGCAAGCACCUGGCCACGAGGGUCCAGGGCGCGCCCACCCCUACAGGGCACGCCCCCUGCCUCAUGGGCCCAUGGUGGCUCCCCUCCACUUAUUCCAGCCACCACACACUCCUUCUUCCUCCCAAAAAAUCACCAACCAGCUCAAGCACGAGUUUUAGCUUAUUUUGCUGCGAUUUUUGAUCUCCUUGCUCAAAGCACCUCUCACAAAACUGCUUUGGGGGAUUGCUCCUUGGUAUGUGACUCCUCCAAGGGUCCAAUUAGUUUUUGUUCUAGUGCUUUAUUCAUUGCAAAUUUGUGCUGCCUAGGUGACCACGUUCUUGAGCUUGCAUGUCAAAUUUAUAUGGUUCCAAGUAGUUCUAAUACAUGAUAUAGUCUCUAGGCACUUGUAGGAGUAGUUGCUAUCAAUUUUGUUGAGUUUGGUUCACUUUUAUCUGAAGUUACUAAAAUUUCAGAAAUUUUUAGAAAAUAAUGAAGAGAUUUUUUUAGGGGCUCUUCGAGCCGAAGCUCGAAGGAUAAGCAAAGUGAAGAAGAAGAGAGGCCCCAAUAUAAUCUCCCUCGCAUCGCGGAAGUUCGGCCGUGUGAAUGGCCUUGCGAUGAUUUCUUGAGAGAGGCCGGGAUUUAUGAUGAUUUUUAUGAAUUGGCUGAGAAUGCAGGCCUCACCGACUUCCUCCACGACAAACGCGAACAGUAUCUCUUACUCACCAAUAUCUUUGUGCAAAAUUUUCAUUUCCAUUAUAGGAGGUCACCACCUUCGGUGGAUUUUUAUUUAUAUGAUGAGUAUAAGGAGAUGACCCUUCGUGAAUUUUGUGAGGUUUGCAAGUUGCCUUUUCCGGGCAGCGUAGAGGAACCACACCGUGACAAUGUGGAGAGGUUUAUUGGUACAAUUGUUGUAGGGGAAACUAGAAAGUUUUUGAUGCAAGAAUCACUAGCAUACAUUUUUCUAUUUUAUGUUACUUUGCAUUAUUUGCUAGUAGAUGCUUAAUUGGUCGCUGAAACUCUGGCAACCUAAGUGCCCCUGAUAUUGUUAUUUUGUGCCAUGCCUUGUUUCGUGAUGAUUCAUUUAGUAUGGGCGCUAUUAUUGCAAAGCGGUUAAAUCUUAACCGUACUAAGGGCCCCAUCUUGGGAGGCAUUUUCACCUCGCGCCUCGCUACGUACUACAACAUACCAAUUAGGCAUUAUGAGAAGGAAGAAAAAUUGUUGCCUACUGUUCUUCUAGAUUACUAGAGUAUGGUUGCACAUGAUUUCAUUGUUAAGAACAGAAAAGGGAGCUUAACUAUAGACUGUUAUUUGAUAAAAAUCACCCUGAGACUAUUACCUUGCCUGCUCCUUCCUUGUUUGAUUUAACUGCAGGCGAGUACCUUGUUCCGUUGGAGGCCGUUCACGCCUACCGGAACCCCACCUCAGUUACAGAGCCAGAUCCGGAACCACAAUUUGUUCCUCCACGCCAAUCUGUUUACCAGUGGAAUCCGGAGGAGAUGGCCAGCCAGUGGCAACCUGGGGCUUCAUCUCAGUACGACCCAACUACAACUUUGGAUAUCCGCCAGGCCAGCCGUGGCAAUAGACCAGCUUAGGCCAAAAGCCUAAGCUUGGGGGAAUACGUAUUUCUCACCGACAUUACAUUUAUAUUUACACACUCAUGCUAGUUGUCGGUGCUCAUACUUUUUCACUGUAAUAUCCAUGCUAUUUUAUUUUCCUUUUUGUGCUUUCUUCUUGUGUGUUUGAUAAAUCAUAAGAAAAAACAAAAAAUAGUAGUAGCUUUUAGCUAGUUUACUUUCUUGCUAGUAGUAAUAAUUAAAAGAAAACCCAAAAAGAUUUCUCGUUCUUCUUUUGCUUCUUGGGAGCUUUCCCGUGUAAAUAGUUUUAUUUCUUUUCUUUUCUUUGGGGGUCGAUAAGAGAAGACCAUACUGAAACUAUUGAAGUGGCUCUUAUAUGCAUUAUUGUUGAUUUAACCAAGAGCCCAUAUUGCCUUGUCUUCUCCUGUUUAUUGAAUACUCGCAGAUUCUAGCUUAGUCCAAUGCACGUGCAUUAUUAUUAUUAUUCACAUCGUUCGGUCGUGCAAGUGAAAGGCAAUAAUGACGAUAUAUGAUGGACUGAUUGAGAUGGGAGAAGCUGGUAUGAACUCGACCUCUCUUGUUUUUGUAAAUAUGAUUAGUUCAUCGUUCCUGACUUAGCCUAUUAUGAAUAAACAUGUUUGCAAUGACAAUUAGAGAUUAUAGUUGCUUAUGCCACACUUAAUUAGCUAGGAGUUUAUAAUGGUUUACCUUGCGUGCCAACAUGCUAUUAAAAUGGUUGUGAUGUGGUAUUAUAGGGUGGUAUCCUCCUUUGAAUGAUUCAAGUGAGUUGACUUGGCACAUGUUCACAGAUGUAGUUGAAACAAAUCAACAUAGCCUUCAUGAUAUUUAUGUUCAUGGUGGAUUAUAUCCUACUCAUGCUUGCACUCAGUGUAUAUUUAUUUUAGUGCAUGUUCAUGACUGUUGUGGCUCUCUAGUUGGUUGCUUCCCAGUCUUUUGCUAGCCUUCACUUGUACUAAGCGGGAAUACUGCUUGUGCAUACAAUCCCUUAAACCCCAAAGUUAUUCCAUAUGAGUCCGCUAUAACUUCCUAUAUGCGGUAUCUAACUGCUGUUCCAAGUAAAUUUGUAGGUGCCAAACUCUAAACCUUCAAAUGAAAUUCUGUUUUGUAUGCUCGAAUAGCUCAUGUAUCAACUAGGGUUGUCUGUAUCUUCCAUGCUAGGUGGGUUAUUCUCAAGAGGAGUGGACUCCGCUCCCCACUCACGAGAAAAUGGCUGGUCAGCGGGAUGCCUAGUCCCAUGCUUUAUGCAAAUCAAAUCAAAAUAAUUGCAAACAGAACUCCCCCGGGACUGUUGUUAGUUGGAGGCACUCGUUGUUUCGAGCAAGCCAUGGACUAAUGCUUGUUGGUGGAGGGGGAGUAUAAACUUUACCACUCUGUUUGGGAACCACCUAUAAUGUGUGUAGCAUGGAAGAUAUCGCCAUCUCUUGGUUGUUAUGUUGACAAUGAAAGUAUGCCGCUCAAAAUAUUAUUUAUCUCUAUUUCAAAAACCGAGCUCUGGCACCUCUACAAAUCCCUGCUUCCCUCUGCGAAGGGCCUAUCUAUUUACUUUUAUGUUGAGUCAUCACCCUCUUAUUAAAAAGCACCAGCUAGAGAGCACCGCUGUCAUUUGCAUGCAUUACUAUUAAUUUAUAUUGGGUAUGACUAUGACUGAAUCUCUUUUACCAUGAAUUACAAUGUUUAGUUAGUCCUUGAUCUUCAUAGGUGCUCUGCAUUUAUGUUUUGUGGUCUUAGAAAGGGCUAGCGAGAUACCAUCUUGUUAUAUCAUAUCAUGAUUGUUUUGAGAAAGUGUUGUCAUCCGAGAUUUAUUAUUAUUGCUCGCUAGUUGAUUAUGCCAUUGACAUGAGUAAACAUGAGACCUAAAUGUUAUUGUGAAUAUGGUUAGUCAUAAUCUUUGCUGAAAACUUGAAUGCUGGCUUUACAUAUUUACAACAACAAGAGCAAACAGAGUUUGUAAAAGUUGUUCUUUAUCACUUUCAGUUUAUCAACUGAAUUGCUUGAGGACAAGCAAAGGUUUAAGCUUGGGGGAGUUGAUACGUCUCCGUCGUAUCUACUUUUCCAAACACUUUUGCCCUUGUUUUGGACUCUAACUUGCAUGAAUUGAAUGGAACUAACCCAGAAUGAUGCUGUUUUCAGCAGAAUCGCCAUGGUGUUAUUUAUGUGCAGAAACAAAAGUUCUCGGAAUGACCUGAAACUUCACGGAGAUUUUUUUGGAAAUAAUAAAAAAUACUGGCAAAAGAAUCAAGGCCAGGGGGCCCACACCCUUUCCACGAGGGUGGGGGGAGCGCCUGCCCCCCUGGGCGCGCCCCCUGCCUCGUGGGCACCCUGGUGCUCCACCGACCUCAACUCCAACUCUAUAUAUUCGUGCUCGGGGAGAAAAAAAAUCAGAGAGAAAGAUUCAUCACGUUUUACGAUACGGAGCCACCGCCAAGCCCUAAACUCUCUUGGGAGGGCUGAUCUAGAGUCCAUUCGGGGCUCCGGAGAGGGGAAUCCGUCGCCAUCGUCAUCAUCAACCAUCCUCCAUCACCAAUUUCAUGAUGCUCAGCGCCGUGCGUGAGUAAUUCCAUCGUAGGCUUGCUGGACAGUCAUGGGUUGGAUGAGAUUUAUCAUGUAAUCGAGUUAGUUUUGUUAGGGUUUGAUCCCUAGUAUCCACUAUGUUCUGAGAUUGAUGUUGCUAUGACUUUGCUAUGCUUAAUGCUUGUCACUAGGGCCCGAGUGCCAUGAUUUUAGAUCUGAACCUAUUAUGUUUUCAUGAAUAUAUGUGAGUUCUUGAUCCUAUCUUGCAUGUCUAUAGUCACCUACUAUGUGCUAUGAUCUGGCAACCCCAAAGUGACAAUAAUCGGGACCACUCCCGGUGAUGAGCAUAGUUUGAGGAUUUCAUGUAUUCACUAUGUGUUAAUGCUUUGGUCCGGUACUCUAUUAAAAGGAGGCAUUAAUAUCCCUUAGUUUCCAUUAGGACCCCGCUAUCACGGGAGGGUAGGACAAAAGAUGUCAUGCAAGUUCUUUUCCAUAAGCACGUAUGACUAUAUUCAGAAUACAUGCCUACAUUACAUUGAUGAAUUGGAGCUAGUUCUGUGUCACCCUAUGUUAUGACCGUUACAUGAUGAACCGCAUCCAGCAUAAUUCUCCAUCACCGAUCCAAUGCCUACGAGCUUUUCACAUAUUGUUCUUCGCUUAUUUACUUUUCCGUCGUAACUGUUACAAUCACUACAAAACCCAAAAAUAUUACUUUUGCUACCGUUAUCAUUACUAUCAUACUACUUUGCUACUAAAUACUUUGUUGCAGAUACUAAGUUAUCCAGGUGUGGUUGAAUUCACAACUCAACUGCUAAUACUUGAGAAUGUUCUUUGGCUCCCCUUGUGUCGAAUCAAUAAAUUUGAGUUGAAUACUCUACCCUCGAAAACUGUUGCGAUCCCCUAUACUUGUGGGUUAUCAGUGGACAGGGUGUGGGCCCCCUGGCCUUGAUUCUUUCGCCAGUAUUUUUAUUAAUUCCAAAAAUAUUCUCCGUGAAGUUUCAGGUCAUUUCAAAAACUUUUAUUUCUGCACAAAAAUAACACCAUGGCAAUUCUGCUGAAAACAGCGUCAGUCCGGGUUAGGUCCAUUCAAAUCAUGCAAGUUAGAGUCCAAAACAAGGGAAAAAGUGUUUGGAAAAGGAGAUACGAUAUAGACGUAUCAGGCCUCACCGCCCCACCCUACUCCCACCGCUGGCCAAGCCAUCCCUUUACUGUCUACUCAUCCACAACUCGUGUUAUUCUGCGGUGACGGCAGCCUUACACCGCAGCCGAACCAGUCAACCCUCAUACUCCCCUCCGCAUGGGCAUCCACUAUCGCGUCUUCCCCGGCUCCGCGUUAUCCCCUUCUAGUCCUCGCCAUCGUCCACCGCCUUGGUGCUCUCGGCGCAGCGUGGUCAACAUGUUCAAGGAACGACUUCCAUCGGAAGAGGACUGAACAUGGAGAGGCUGAUAGUUGGGUCCACGGCCGCAGUAAGGAAGGGCAACCUUAUUACAUGUAAAAUAAUUAUUCCUCCACCUGACAGUGGGGACCCAUCGGAAGGGACUCUGUAUUUUACGAAAAAAAUGUUUCCUCCUGACAACCGGGACCUACCACUACAUCUUCGCACGCAAGGAAGUGCCUCCAUAUUAGGCGCGAAAAAAAUGAAUCCUCCCCCUAACAGGUCGGACCCACCAUCAAUAACUUCGCACGCAAGGAAGUGCCUCCUUAUCCUCCCUGACAGUCGAGACCUACCUGGUCGAAGCGUUCGUAGCGUUGUCAUUCUGGUCGCGAACAUGUACGUACAUACUAGUCGAUCAGUCUAUCUGCAGGCUGCAACGAUGAACCAUGGCCGAGUAAGGGAGGGCACGUGUCGUAGUAGAGGCGCUGACGUAGCAUGUACACGUACGUACAGCUAGGGUGCAAGAAAGUAAAUAUGUCCACGUAUGUACAUACGGGCGGGGUCUCGAACGCCUACUCGCGCAUACGUAGGGCCAGGGCUCAUGUACAUGGAGAGGCAGCGAUGGCGUCCUGUUCAUCGGCAGCCAACCGGCUGGGUCGGAACAGAGAAACUGCGUCGUCGUGUUCACCGGGAGGCAACGGAAUGCGUCGUGUUCAUUGGGAGCCAACCGCCUUGUACGGAACAGCCAAAACGAGGCCUGGCAUACCGCAGAACGAAGGAAACGGCCUUGUGUUCGACCGCCUACGGUCAAAACGGGAUCCUGUUCACUGGGAGGGGUGUGGCGUACCGCAAAACAGAGGAAACAGACUUCUCUUUGACCUCUUACGGUCGAAAUGGGGUCCUGUUGAACGGGAGGGGUGUGGCGUGCCGCAAAAUAGAGGAAAUGGACUUCUCUUCAACCUCCUAUGGUCGAAACGGGGGCCCUGUUCAUCGGGUGGGGUGUGGCGUACGCAAAAUGGGACUCCACGUGCUACUGUUCAUCCACCAUCUACUGCCUCGCUCCAGCCUCCAUGGGCUAGUGUUCGUCCACUGUCGACCUCCUCCAGCCUCCACCUGCGACUGUUCAUCCAUGGAGUCUCCCUCCUGCCUCCACCAGCUAUUGUUCAUCCACGGGCUCCUAUUCAUACAGCCUCCACCGCUCCUCCAUUGGCUACUGUUCAACCAGCCCUCUCCACGGGGUCCUGUUCAACCACCCCUCCAUGUACUGUUCAUCCAGCCCUCCACGGGCUACUGUUCAACCAGCCCUCCACCGACUGUUGUUCAUCCAGCCCUCCAUGGGAUGUUGUUCAUCCACCCCCAACCGGCUCGAUCGGGGUCCUGUUCAUCCAGCGGCAACGGUCUCUACUACCAUGGAGUCCUAUUAAAUCAUCCAACCCCCAUCGGGAACUGUUCUCCAACCCCCAACAAUGCUCACUAUUCAUCAAGAGGCAGCAGGUUCGAUCGGCUUCACUUAGCAGCAGUAGCACAGGAAUCACUCGAUCGGGUUCAGUUAACAGCCAGGGAUCGACCAAUCACUCGGGUGCAGUAACGCGUAGCCUGCAGUGCAAUCGCUCGGGUUCAGUAGGUGAACGCCUCGCUCGGGUUCAGUUAGAGCCCAACGCCUCACACCCACGCGUGCACGUGUACAAGAGAAACGCGCAUCGCUCGGCCCCGACAACCCACCGUAACCGGGAACUCCUUGAUAUUUUCCUUGCCCUCACUUCUACCACAGUUUUUUCCGUCAUGGACGGCCCAAAGAAUGUCAUGCAGCUUCGUCUCCGGCCCGCCCAGGAUGAAAAGCCCAUUUUCUAUCAUGAUUUUUUGUCAUAGAAGUAGGAGCCCACCAAAUCUAUGAUGAUACCAGGUUUUGUCACAAUUAUCGUCAUAGAAGUGUCAUAAGCAUGACAGAAAUAAAUUUUGUUCGGCCUAAAAUGUCAUGGAUCUGUCUUUUUUUGUAUUGUGAGCCUUGCUUCCUUAGGAUCUACAAAAUACUGCUGCAGACUGGGAGUGAUCGGAAAGUACCAUACAACUUUCUGAAUAGCUUUCUUUCCUGCCUUCUUGUAUCCAGAAGCAUUGCACACUGGACAGUUGUUUUUUUUCGUGUGCUCCACCCGAUAAAUGAUGCAAUCGUUGAUGCAUGUGUGGUACCUAAUGUACGGAAAAUCAAAAGGGCAAACGAUUUUCUUGUCCUCCUUGACACUAGUAGGACACAGGUUCCUCGAGGGAAGAACUUUAUUUUCUAGAUACUUCAAAUGCUCAUCGAGGCUUUUGUUUGUCCAUUUGUUUUUGGCCUUCGUCUUUAGAAGUUCGAGCGUGAAACUUAAGUGGGUCACCUCGGGAUCACAACCGUCAUACAAUGGAGUCUUCGAGUGUACUUCAAGUUGCGCCAGCUUGGCCUCCUCUCUAGAAGCAGCUCUCUUGCUACUCGUACUCUUGGGAAGGAGGUCUCGAACAUGAGGGUCAUGCAUGACUGCACUUAGUAGCAUCGAAGACUGUGGCGUGACCGCCGGCUCUUCUCCGCCAUGUCCGGACUCUUCAUCACCGUGUCUGGAAUCUUAUCCGCCGCUGUCGUUUCCGAACUCUUCCCCGCCGCCAUCGUCUUCGUGUCGAUCGGUCAUCUCUUCGUCCAGCCCCACAUGUCGUUAUUCCCUACCAUGUGGACGUCCUCCUCAUCAUCUUCUUCUUCACUUAUCUACCGAGUAUAGCCAUCCAUGAAACCAUUCAUCAUCAGGUGCGCCUUCAAAGUGCCACGAUCAAAAGGGUCCAAAAGGACUCCUUCUUUGCAUCUUGCACACAGACAUCUAAUCCUAGUCCGAUUAUUUGCAUACAUGUCCAUCACCGUGGAUUGCAUGUAUCGCUCCAUGUUCCAUCCACUCACCUUCAUGACCGACUGCAUGGUAUAACAAGCAAAAGGGUUCUAAACAAAAUGCAUGCAUUCUUCAAAGUCAUAUAAAAGUUUGGCAUGACCUUGCCUAAAAAUAGGACAUAUCGAGUUUGCUCGAAAUUCACCGAAACGGAAAUAAAUCAACAUUUUGGCAAAACAUAAGCAACUUGGGGGCAUUUCACUCGCACAAAUCUCUCCAUAUCCCAAACACACAUAUUCUCAUUCACACACAUAUUCCCAUUCUUGAAAUGAACAACUUUUUACUCACCUAUAUAUCUCCCGAUCGAGAGAGCACGGUUAGAUGAUGAGGUCUUUCGCUACCUAUACAGAUCGUAAGUGUGGAUGGCUAAAUAGCUAGCUAGAUCUAGUUGUCAGGGAGGAGAGAUGACUCUAGCUAACUAAUGGAGAGGGAGUUAUGGUGGAGGGGGCAUUAAUGGGGAGAGAAGAGAGGUAGGAGGAAGAGAGGAGAUGAGAGGCCAUUUAUGGAGGAGAGUUAUGGUGGAGGGGGACAUUAAUGAGGAGAGAAGAGAGGUAGGAGGAAGAGAUAAGAAGCGCAACAAUGGUGGAGAGGGGAGAGGGUAAAGGAGGGGGGGGAGAGGGCAAAGUGGGGGAGGAUGGGAGGGGGUGAAAAGGUGGCACCAGCCACAACUAGCAGUAGUGCUGCUUCCCAGAAAGCGCUGCUGCUAUGGUACUUAGUAGUAGCGCUUUUCCAGGAAAAGCGCUACUAUUAAGUAGGGCCCAUUAGCAGUAGUGGUGCUGUAAAACAAAGCACUACUGCUAAAAUCUUAGUAGUAGUGUUGUUUUAUGGGAAGCGAUGCUACUACAGCUACCGUCGGUGGCAUGGUCCACACAGUAGAAGUGGUUUUUGUUUUCCAGCACUACUGCUAAAGAGUUACUAGUAGCGCUGCCCUAGAACAGCGCUACUGCUAACUAGCAGCAGCGGUUUCUUUUUUCCAGCGCAACUACUGAGGUCCUACCUAUAAACAUUUCCCUAGUAGUGGUGGCUUCUCUUGAGAAAAAUAGCAAACGGUGGGUAAACGAAUUACUGUUGGGCAAUUGAUAAAACUUCAAACAAUCAUCACGAUAUGCAGGCAAUGAUCAUUAUAUAGGCAUCACGUCCAAGAUUAGUAGACCGACUCCUGCCUGCAUCUACUACUAUUACUCCACACAUCGACCGCUAUCCAGCAUGCAUCUAGUGUAUUAAGUUCAUGGAGAAACGGAGUAAUGCAAUAAGAACGAUGACAUGAUGUAGACAAGAUUUAUUUAUGUAGAAAUAGACCCCAUCUUGUUAUCCUUAAUAGCAAUGAUACAUACGUGUCGGUUCCCCUUCUAUCACUGGGAUCAAGCACCGUAAGAUCAAACCCAUUACGAAGCACCUCUUCCUAUUGCAAGAUAAAUAGAUCAAGUUGGCCAAACAAAACCCAAAUAUCGGAAAAGAAAUACGAGGACAUAAGCAAUCAUGCAUAUAAGAGAUCAAAGAAGACUCAAAUAACUUUCAUGGAUAAAAAGAUAGAUCUGAUCAUAAACUCAAAGUUCAUCGAAUCCCAACAAACACACCGCAAAAAGAGUUACAUCAUAUGGAUCUCCAAGAGACCAUUGUAUUGAGAAUCAAAAGAGAGAGAGAGAGAGAGAGGAAGCCAUCUAGCUACUAACUGCGAACUUUAGGUCUACAAUGAACUACUCACGCAUCAUCAGAGAGGCACCAAUGAACAUGAUGAACCCCUCCUUGAUGGUGUCUAGAUUGGAUUUCGUGGUUCUGGAACUUGCGGCGGCUGGAAUUAAUUUUUGUCGACUCCCUAGGGUUUCUAGAAUAUUGGGGUAUUUAUAGAGCAAAGAGGCGGUGCAGGAGAUCACUGAGGUGGGCACAACCCACCUGGGCGCGCCUGGGGGCCCAGGCGCGCCCUGGUAGGUUGUGCCCCCCUCAGGGCACCCCCAAGUGCUUCUCCGGCCCAUUGAGUGCCUUCUGGUCCAUAAAAUUCCACAAAAAGUUCCGUUGCAUUUGGACUCCGUUUGAUAUUGAUUUCCCGCGAUGUAAAAAACAAGCAAAGAACAGCAACUGGCACUUGGCACUAUGUCAAUAGGUUAAAACCAAAAAAUAAUAUAAAAUGAUUUUAAAAUGAUUGUAAAAUAUCCAAGAAUGAUAAUAUAACAGCAUGGAACAAUCAAAUAUUAUAGAUAUGUUGGAGACGUAUCAGUCUACGAAACUUAGAAAUAUUAAUCUCAUGAGAUACAUCACCAAAGUUAACACUGACUAUUUCCCUAGUACAAUCAAUCUUAGCAUUAACUGUGUUCAAAAAAGGUGUACCAAAUAUAGAGGGACAAAAAUCCUCUUGUGAAGAUCCAAGAACUAGAAAAUUAGUAGGGCAUUUGAUCUUACCACAUAAGACUUCAACAUCUCUAAUAAUCCCAAGCGGUGAAAUAGUAUAUUUGUUUGCAAGCUUAAUAGUAAAAUCAAUGUCUUCUAUCUUAAUAGGUGCAAUAUUAUUCAUGACUUCUUGAUAUAAAGUAAAAGGAAUAGCUCUUACACUAGCACCCAUGUCACCCCAACCAUCAUAACAGUGAUCUCCUAUUUUAACAGAAACAACAGGCAUGCCAACAACAGGUUUGUUUUUAUCAGAUGUUUCUGAUUUCGCAAUACAAGUUGCUUAAUCAAAAAAAUAUAUGACAUGUCCAUCAAUAUUAUCACCCAAUGAUCUUUAAUCAUUGCACUAUUAGGUUCCACUCUAAUUUGUUCAUAGGGUCUAUGUGUUUUAGCAUUACUCUUAUUAACCACAGUUGAAGCUUUAGCAUAUUCCUUAAUCCUAACUAGGAAAGGAGGUUUCUCGAUAUAAGAAAUAGGCACAACUGGGUCUACAUUAUAAAAAUGAUUGUUUCAUCUUUAACUAUAAUAGUUUCCUGAAACAAUUUUUCAAUAGGUGGAUGAAAUUUAAACCACUUCUCCUUAGGGAGAUCAACAUGAGUAGCAAAUGAUUUGCAAAAGGUAGCUACUAUCUCAUAGUCAACUCCAUAUUUAGCAGGAUGAUUCAAGACUGCCUAGGAUGGGCUUAUGAAUAUAUACACCAGUGUCGCAAAUCUAGAGAGGAGAUAUGGUGAUCAAGUUAGACUUUGAAAAGCUUUUAAUACUAUUGAACAUCAGGUCAUCAUUGACAUAUUCAGAGCAAAAGGUUUUGGAGAGAAAUGGAUCUCACGGAUAAAUCUUAUAUUCACAUCUGCAUCUUUUGCUGUUAUGCUCAAUGGAGUUCCUGGGAAGAAAUUUUACUGCAAAAGAGGGGUCAGACAAGGUGAUCCUUACUCACCUUUGAUUUUUGUUCUGGCUGCUGACCUCCUUCAGUCCAUCUUUAAUAAGGCUAUGAGAUUGGGGAUUAUAACUCCCCCUCUUCAAGUCAACUCUUGCCCUGAUUUUCCAAUUGUACAAUAUGCUGAUGACACCCUGGUCCUUAUGAAAGCUAAUGCCAGAGAGCUCAUUUGUAUUAAGUCACUUCUCAACACUUUUGCUGCAGCCACUGGUUUAAAGGUAAAUUAUGGUAAGUCAGUCAUAGUGCCCAUCAAUAUUGCAGAGGACAGAGUGGAUAUCUUCACAAACACAUUGCAAUGCUCCAGAGGUCACUUCCCUGUCACAUACUUGGGAUUACCUCUGGGAAUUUACAAACCAACUGUGGAGCAAUGUUUGCCACUAGUUCAAAGAAUUGCCAAAAGACUUGCUGGACUUUCUACAUUCAUGACCCAAGCAGGAAAAUUACUAUUGGUAAAAUCAGUACUUGCAUCAUUAACCAUUUUCUUCAUGUGCUGCCUGGAUGUUCCUGUUACUAUCAAGCAGCAGAUCAUUAAAUAUUUGAGACAUUGUCUGUGGAGGAGCCCUGAUUUGGAGGAUUGUAGACCAGCACUAGUGGCAUGGAAAACUGUCUGUAGACCCAAGAGUCAAGGAGGUUUAGGAGUCAUGGAUAUAUUCACACACAAUAAGACAUUGCUCAUGAAAAAUCUUCAUAAGUUUUUCAACAGACAUUAUAUUCCCUGGGUAAAUCUUGUUUGGGAGACAUACUAUAGUACUGGGAAUCUGCCAGGCGACAGCAGGGAGGGAUCCUUCUGGUGGAAGUCAAAUUUAGCUCUUAUUGAUCAAUACAAAGCAAUUGCUAGAUGUAAUGUGGGAGAUGGUCAAAGUGCUCUGUUUUGGGAUGAUUGUUGGCAUGAUUUUGUCAUGAAACACAAAUUUUACCACCUCAUUACUUUUGCCAGAGAUACCUCUAUUAAUGUCAAUCAAGUCAUCCAUACUGAGUAUCUCCAGGAUUUAUUUCACCUAUCAUUGACCACCCAAGCAUAUGAGGAAUUUCUUGAAGUGGAAAAUAUUUGCAUAUCUUUGAGAAACUCAGACCACUUGCAAUUGAGGGACACAUGGAGCUACAUAUGGGGCAAUGAAUUUUAUUCCUCAACCAAAGCUUAUAAGGUGUUAAUUGGAUAUAAGACAACUCCACCUCAUUUCAGUUGGAUAUGGAAGAGCUCAUGUCAACCUAAACACAAAAUUUUCUUCUGGCAACUGCUGCAUGACAGAGUUAACACUAGGAAUCUGCUAAGAAGAAGAACUUUGAGCUGGAUGAUUAUAACUACUAGUCGUCAACCCGUGCAUUCGCACGGGCUAGUCAAUAAGUUUUAUGCAUUUAUUUUGGCAUAAUUAAUAUCUUUCAUGAAAGGAAAAAAGUGAAACACCCAUCCAUCCAAGUCAUUCUCAAGCGCAUGUCUGGUGUCUCCAUUUUUUGUUUUUUACUAAUUCAAUUCUCAAUAUGAUUCAAAUAAUUUCUUCUAACUCUUUGGCAUUUAUUUUUGUUUUUUUCAAUAACCUUGCUUCUUUGUAUAUUCGAUAUGUGCUCAUCAAAAUAAUUAUAAUUUAUGUUUGCCGUGUUUAUGUUUUUUCAGUGUCAAAGUCAUUACAUACUAUAGAAAUUUGAAGCAAUUGAUUAUAGGGACUGGAAGGAGAGAAGAUUUAUUGGGAAUUAGUGAUUUGAGGCUUGUAUCAACUACUUGUACAAAAUAUAUGAGGAUGAUAUCACUACAUACUAAUUUGGUCGCGUUGAGGCUUGUAUCAACUACUUGUAGAAAUAUAUAUGAGGAUGAUAUUACUACAUACUAAUUUGACCCCUAAGCAACAAUGAACCAUGCGUCCUUGCCAUGCAUGUGCUGCAGCAAAACACAAUGCAUGUGAAGUUGACACAUAAAGAACUUCAAUUUUGCCACAAGCACUGACAGAAAAAAGUGGAAUUAUAUAUCAAUCGUCAAUACAAAAAGGAAAUUAUAGAUCAAUCUAUGGAUACAAACGUUGGUUUCAAUGUUGCCAUUGUAAACAGAUCUCCAUGCAUCAAUGGAUGGUAGUACAAUCCUUCAUGUGUUUGUAUCGAGACUACAGAUUAAAGUUCUCUACUAGUCACGGAGCUAAUUUUAGGUUAUUGUUAAGUUGAUGGUGCUACUGCCUAGCCUCCACGGAUCAACGACGGCAAUGUCUAGCUUAAGAGUUCGGUGCGUGCAUGUUGAAGGAUAUCUUGAUACUCCAAGUGAUGCACGCUUGACAUAAUGUAUUUAAGUUAAAACACGAAAUCGCACACGUGCUUCAACAAUAGUAUGAUAUUCAUCAACUUUUUCAUCUGUAUAUGUGCGAUUUGGAUCUCCUCUGGCCCUAAUUUAUUUGGUACAGGUUGCUCUAAAACGCUUAAAUGUAUUUUCAUCACAAAAUACUAUCUUUAUCCUCUUAUUAAUAAUGCGAUUGAAAACUUUGUUUGCUUGCCAACUCCACUGUCUACUACUAAAUCACAUUAAUAUAUGAUGAUAUUGGGAAGAAACCCUGAAUGGCUCCUUUCAGCUCGGCUAAAAAAUACAGAAAAAGUGUUUUUUAAGUUCCAUCAAAACUAUACAUUGAGAUGUGUACCCUCUAAUUAAUGUUUAUUAGGAUUUAUUUUGUAUGCUACACUAAAAGACUGAGAAAAUAUAUUUUUGAUCCUACGCAUAUACAUAAUGGGCGUUUACAUGUGGGAAACAAAUCAAGAUUUACUGAAAUUUUAGAGGGAUUUGAUUUGUUUUUCGAUUUUUUUGCCUGUUUGAAGCUUGGGAUCAACCAUACAAUUAUCUUGGAAAGAAGCGAACUAAGAGAAAGGUCUGACAGGCAAUGCUACCAUAGUGUAAGAAAUAGCAGUCCAAGACACUGUAAAAUACAUAGAACCGAGUCAUGCAUGUAAUACGUAAUGAGUUUCAUCUAUAAACAGCUACAAAGAUAAAACUGUAGAUCUAUUAAAAAGCAGCGAGUACCUUUCUUGAGUAUGAACCACGCAUAUGAGAUUAUCUCUGGACAAAAGGAUGUUGUUGCUACAAUUCUUUCUCCAGCAAUUGGAUAUUAACCCUAGCAGCAGGACUCCAAAAAGUAAGGCUUGUCUAGGUAGUUCUUUCUCCAUGUGUGCUCGCCUGCAUGCUUUGCAUCUGUUUUGUUAUUGAAGGGAGAGCAACCUAGGUAACACGGAAGGGUCAGGAUGAGGAACUGAUGGAACCAAGCUCAUGCAGUCCUGUCAAAGUUUAACUAUGCAUCUUGCAGUAUGCUAGCACAUACUGACCGCAGGUCAUCAUAUACGCAUAGCAACGUACAUCACUCCCCAUACAAUAAGUGAUAGAUGAUUAGGGGCAAGAAAUAAUCAAUAGAGUUUCUGAAGGAACCGAUGGAACCAAGCUCAUGCAGUCCUGUCAACGUUUAACUAUGCAUCUUGCAGUAUGCUAGCACAUACUGGCCGCAGGUCAUCAUAUACGCAGAGCAACAUACAUCAGUCCCCAUACAAUAAGUGAUAGAUGAUUAGGGGCAAGAAAUAAUCAAUAGAGUUUCUGAAGCUCACAAUUUCUUUUCAUGUACGUCAGUCCAUGCAAUCUACAAAAUAAUUAAACAAACCUUCAAUGUCUCGAAUGAAGCAACUUGAAGCCACAACACAAAGCUGAGUACUUUGGUUAUUCUUCCCGAGCUCCUUAAGGAAGACGCUAGUGUAUUUUGAAAUCUGAAUCCUGCUAUGCUAAUACGCUGGGUCUCCUUUCCUAAUUAAUAACAGUCUGCACUACUUCCUACACGGCCAUCAGGAAAUAAAGCAGAAAAAGCACGUUGAAGCAUCUCACCAUCCCGCGUACACCUCCGCCGUAACACCAACCAACUCAUAGCUAGUUUCAGGGCCAGCAGAUGUUGCCUUCUGCGCUGAAGCACCACUAGCACCACUGAUCAGCAGGUAUAUGUGCAGUGAUGCCAUGUCAGAAUCCCUCAGAAAAAGCUCGAGAAAAUCAUUGGAGUUAGCUACCAGCAGUAGUAAAGAGAUAGAGGAUCCGGAUGGGAGUUAUACAGAGAAAAACAAAGCUUACUUUUACGAAGAGGUUGAUCGAUUCCAGGUAGAUACGCUAGGAUUGUAUGUAAGUACACGUAAUAGAUGAGUUUCUUCGUGCCGCUGACGCUGCCAGUGUUGUGUAGAUCAAACCUGGCUGACAAAAUCAAUUACUUUACCUGUGAGCAUCUCGGGAGUCAAGACAGCCUUAAUAGGUUUAGCAGUGCAGGAUCAAGGGCAUAUCUGACCUCGUUACAGACCCUGCUUUCAGUGAAGUUGCUGCUACCGGUUUUGUCUAAGAAGACACGUAGACAUCCAUAUUGAUCUUGAACUCCGGUAUGAACUGAAAAUUGUCCAGACUCCAUUGAUUGUGAAGAGCACCAUUAGGAUCGUCACCAUCAGCUUAAUCAAUUUCCCAACUAAUCGAUUUCCCUUACCACAGCGACCUACGGCAGCAUAUGUCUAAGGCAAUUUCUUCCUCCCUCCUUCAAUCCUCCUCAAACUCCUUUGUGCAUCCUCCUACCAUCCUGCAGCGAGGACCAAGAGCAAUACGAACAACAUCUUCUACUCAAUCCUAUCUGCAAUCUCGCCUUCCUCUGGUAUCCUCUCCGCCAGAUAUUCCCCGUUGACCCUCCUCAAGCGAGGAGAAGCAGGAAUCGCACGCACUGUUAUACGAUCUAUCACUCGAGGAGUUCAGCCAUGCCAGGAGCAGCCGCCUCUUGCCUUUGCAACGCCAUGGUCCUUGUCAGGAUCUUCAUGCCGAUGUCCUUCUCUACUUCCUCCAGAUAUCAAAUCGAGUUUGAUGUUCAUCCGCAACAAUUUUCGUAGUAUGAGGAGCCACAGGGAGAAAAAUGUUGCCCAAGGAUUAUUUUGCGUGAGGAUUCUUCGGGGAAGGAUUGAUCGUGUAGGAGAAGUAUGAUAGAUUGGUUUUCUUUACAUUACAGGUACCCUAGAUUGGUUUUUACAGCUGCGUUAAGUUGGUUUUUUCUUAGAUUGCAAGGAUUAUAUGAUUCGAUCCACACCAAUAUAACUCGGUCCCACCAGAUUAACGGCCGGUAAUUUCUAAUUAACGUGGGAAUUUCUGGGGAGUCUGUAAUUAGUAUAGGUAUAGAUAGAUAGAUGCUGUCAGAAAUUGUCACCAGGAGGAGACUUUACAUCAUCUUUUUUUGGAGUUGCCCUUUUGCUGCCCAAUGUUGGGAUUACAUUUGCCCAACCAGAACAAAUAACUUGUCAGUUUUGGAAGCAUUUCAAGACCUUCAAGACAAACUGCAGCUUCCUUUCUUUAUGGAGAUUAUUAUACUGGGUUCUUGGGCUAUUUGGAUAUCUAGAAACAACAAGAUCUUUGAACACAUUAAUCCCUCCUUUCAGGGUUGGAAACACAUCUAUUUGGAAGAGCUCAAGUUAUUGAAAUUCAGGAUGAAGAAUAAUUUACUGCCUCAAUUUUCAGCUUGGUUAGAGUCCAUCUUGUAAUUAUAGGUGUAGUUUAGAUUUUUCUUUGGUAGUUUCUCUCUCUUUUUCUUCUUCCUUUGUUCUUUUUCUUUCUUCUCAUUCCUUUUCUUCUCUUCUUUCUUUUCUUUUCUUUCUUUCUCUUUUCUGGGCUUACCUCAAGCCCUUAAGACAAUGUUCUCUUUCUUUCUUUUAAUUAAUAAAAGUUGCAGUGGGGUUUUACCCUACUGUUUAUAGUAAAAAAUAGUACUAAACUUAUGAAAAGCAUCGGUUUCCAUAAAAGAUUUAACACAAUCGAACUCAAUAUUUAUACCUAACUCUUUACCUUUGUCGAAUUCCCAAUCUUCAGAGUUGCGUUUAAUUCUUUCCAAAAAAUUCCAUUUUAAUUCAAUAGUUCUCUUCAUAAAGGAACAAGUAGAAGAAGUAUUGAGUAUGGAUUGAUAACUAUCAGAAAGCCAAGCAUAAUUUUUUGAAUAACUAUUUCUCUUCAGAGCUCGUCAUUGGGGCAUGUAUGCGUCAUAUAUUUAAGCCUCCCCCAAGAUUGAGCGAUACUUUAUCCUUCACAAGGACAAAAAUUAUAUAUAUAAUUCCGAUCACGAUGAACCAAAAUGCAUAGGAUAAAACUUUUGAUGACAUUACAGCUUCAGCCGGUUCCAAUCCCAUGUUCCAGUAUCAUCCAAUAGCCUAUACCAUGUCAAUGCCUUUCCCUACAAAGAUAAAAGGAAUACCUUCAUAUUAACUCCAUCCUCGGAUAAACCUGCAAGCUUAAACCAUCCACAAAUUUUAUCUAUAUAUAUAUAUAUAUAUAUAUAUAUAUAUAUAUAUAUAUAUAUAUAUAUAUAUAUAUAUAGUGCAUAUCAGGAUGUAUCGUUCCAUCUCCUGCAUAAGGAUUUGCUAGCAGUUUCUCUAACAUACCUGAAGGAGAAUCUCAUAAUAAAUAUUUUCAGUAGGUUUAGUAGGUUGAGGGUAAACUAUUAUUGCUUCCAGUUGAGGUGAAGAUACCCCGAACAAACCCUCAAAGGAUUAUUUUCCAUAGUGACAAGUGACAAUAAAUUUUAGCGUGUAAUAUAAAUGUUUCCUCACCAAAUUCGACUUACCAAAGGAGCUUCACUCCCCGGAAAUGGUGCCAUAAAAGAUUGUUGAUGACCCACAAUUAUAGGGGAACAAUUGUAGUCAUUUCCGUAAGUAAGAGAGUCGAACCCAACGAGGAGCGGCAGGAAAUGAUAAGCGGUUUUCAGCAAGGUAUUCUCUGCAAGUACUGGAAGUAGCUGUAACUGAUAGUUUUGUAGCUAGGUAAUUUGUAACAAGUAAUAAGUAGCUAUAGUAACAAAGGUGCAACAAGGUGGACCUAUCCUUUUUACAACAAAGGACAAGCCGGGGCGAUCUCUUAUAUAGAGUGAAACAUUCUCGAGGACACAUGGGAAUUAUCGUCUAGUCACUUUCAUCAUGUUUAGUUGAUUAUCAUUCGCUACUUUGGUAGUUCGAUGUGUGGGCGGACUGGUGCUUGGGUGUUGUUCUUACUUGAUCCCCCCCUCCCCCUCUCGCAAGCAUCUGCAACUAUGAAAGAAGAAUUAACAUAAAGCUAACCAUAGCAUGAAACAUAUGGAUUCAAAUCAGCCCCUUACAGAAUAACACAUAAACUAGGGUUUAAUCUUCUGUCACUCUAGCAACCCAUCAUAUACUUAUUACUCCACAAUGCCUUCCCUUAGGCCCUAGUGUGGUGAAGUGUCAUGUAGUCAACAUUCACAUGACACCACUAAAGGAAGCAACAACAUACAUAUCAUCAAAAUAUCGAACAUGUACUAAUUUCACAUGAUUACUUAUGACAAGACUUCUCCCAUGUCCUCAAGAACAAAGGUAACACUAACAAAUUAUGUUCAUGUUCAAUAUCAAAGGGGUAUUGAAUAUCAAUACGGAUCUGAACAUAUAAUCUUCCACCAAAUAAAUCAACUAGCAUCAACUACAAGGAGUAAUAACCACUAUUAGCAACCCACUACAGGUACCAAUCUGAGUAUUUGGGUCAAAGACUGAAUACAAGAGAUGAACUAGGGUUUGAGAUGAGAUUGUGCUGGUGAAGAUGUUGAUGAAGAUUGGUCCUCCCAUGAUGAAAGGAUCAUUGGUGAUGUUGAUGGCUUCGAUUUCCCUCUCCCAGAGGGAAGUUUCCCUGGCGAAAUCGCUCCGUCGGAGAGCAAAAGUGCUCCUGUCCAGGUUCCGCCUCGAGACGGCGGCGCUUCGUCCCGAAGGCAUUCUUCCUAUUUUUAAUAGGGAAAAUAGCCUCACAUAGUAGAAGAUGGGCACAGGAGGCCUGCCAGGGGGCCCACAAGCACAUAGGGCGCACCCAGGGGGUAGGUCACACCCCCUGAGCUUGUCUCUCCCUGGUGGCCCCGCUCCUAGUAUUUCUUCCACCAAUAUUUUUUAUAUAUCUAUGAUAUAUCUCCGUAAAUGUUUAGGUCAUUUUGAUUUGUGCAGAAUAGCUAUCUCUAUUGUAGCCUUUUCCGGUCCAGAAUUCCCGCCGCCGGCAAUCUCCCUCUUCAUGUGAAACUUUCAAAAUAAGAGAGAAAAGACACAAGAAUAGUAUAAAGUGAAGUAAUGACCCAAAACAUAAUAAAUAACAGUAGAAAAACAUGAUGCAAAAUGGAUGUAUCAAUGAGGCAGAGCCUCUCAAGUGCAAGCGCACCACAAUGACUGGGAAGGGAUGCCAUGACGCUUGGUGGGCAUUCCACCACUGGCGCAAUGAAGACGUCGGCUCAGGUGGCGGCGUGGACACAGAUAGAGGUGUUAGUGUCCUCGUAGGCCAUGCCUACGCACUGUGUGGUACCUCAUAGUAGGGGAACGUGCAACGCAACAUUUUUUUACCAUACACGGUCUCACCAGGAACACUAUGAAGGUGCAGAUUAACGAUCAACUCACCAACAAUACAUAGGGGAAGCGGAGUAUAUGCUGGUGAAGAUUUGCUGAUUCCCACAGCCAGGUUAAACCUCCAUGCCACGAGAAUUUUGCCUAGAUGAUCUGCCGAUCUAGUACCAAAGUAGAUGGUACCUCCAUGGUAUCCGGACAUACUGAUCUAGAGGUUCGGUAGCACUCCAUGGAACAACACAAAAAAAUCAUGGAGAAAACUAGAGGAGAACAACCUAGCAUCGUAUCAAUCUAGAACCAAUCUAGAUCAGAGAGAGAGAGAGAGAUGCGGCGCGGGCAGCAAGAGAGGGGGUAGUUGUGGGCUUUGUGAUGCCUUUGUGCGUCCCCACCCUUAUAUAUAUGUGGAAGGGUCAAGGGAUUGAUCGACCUAGCACCAAGAGUCCUCAACGAGUCAGCCACCCUGGCAGUCCCCAUCUAGGAGGACUCCUCCCUAGGGGUGCCUUGGCACCUUUGGACUUAUUUAUCUAGCCAACUUGGGCCCUUGGUGGCCACUUUCCACCCAAGGUGGUGGGGGUUUGGCCUAUGAGGAAUCUCCUAGAAUCUACUGAAAGUUUUCACUUACACUUCCGGACACUUCUGGGACCUCCCGGGACACAUUUGGAUUCAUUUCAAACAAGAAAACUUCAUCCUCAAACCUUUCUAUUAGAGACUGAAUUGUUUAUGUCUUAUGUGGUUAGUCUACAGUCUCGGUCGAAUUUCGACAUAACAUGUGGAAUUUUUCGGUUCUGUCUCAGGAGUGAUCUUUGGAACAACUGUCGGUGCAUGUUUCAAUCCUCUUAUCUGACCCCGAAGAUUCACCAAUCUCGUCGAGUUGUAUUAAUUGUCCUCCCAUUCACCUUUUUCAUGAUAAAUUCUUUCUCCAGAAACACACUGUCCUUUGCGAAAAACAGUUUUGCCUUCGUUCGGUGAUAGAAGUCAGACCAAACAAUAUUUUGGGGACAAGUAACAAAGUAUCAUUGGGUUGAGCUUAUUCAGUUGUAAAAGCUUUACAUAUCACUAGUACACAAUGGGGCUAUUAAGCGCCCCCCCCCCCCCAAACAUAUCGCACGGGAUAGCAAAAAAACUGUGUGUGAUAACCGCAUCACACACGCUUAGAAAAUAAAAUUGUUUGCAGGAAGAUUAGUUGUGUGCGAUCGUUGGGCCAUCACGCACGACCUGAGAAAGUAAAGAAUUUGAAAAAUUGUGUCGUGAGCGCUAUAGUUCACAUGAUUGUUCAAAAUAAAUUGUGUGUGAUGAUUGAGCUUUCACACACAACUAUUCUGCAAAGAACAGUACAGAUCACGCCGCCUUGUGUACAGGUGUUAUUUUUGCCAGAGUCACAUACAAUUCAUUCUUAGAACACGUGUGGGAUUGACAUGAGGGUAAAUAAAUCCUCCAUGUAUAGUUUGAUUCACAAAAAUAAUUAAGACAUUGAGUAGGAAAAGGGAUAGAAAUAGGAAAUUCAAAAUAUUAUCCAAUAGUUCAUUACAUGAUAUAUAUCAUCACAUAUAUGUGAUCAUACAAAUUAACUACUAGUACAAAUACAUAAAUAAUGAAAGAAAACUAUACUAAAAAUUAAUAAUCUCUCCUUAGGGCCUUUUGACUGCGGCACUCCACCAGCUCCCUGAUGCGCGCCGGCUUCAAGUGCAACUGUAGUUAUCCGCCUCACAGAGUGUGACAUGUCAAGUGGCGGCUAAAAAAAUUAGAGUUGCUGCAAAAAAAAAAUUAGAGUUACUUCACGCAGAGAAGAUAGCAGGAACAACGUGCUAGGGAUUGAAAUAGGCAACACGGCCGUGCUAAUUGUAUGUCUUAAGUAACACUUUUUUUUAUGUACCUGAUGCACCCCUCAUAAAUUUACCUGACGCACUUGUUAAUUUUGUACCGAAUUGCUAUGCUAAUUUCCUUUUGACCCUGAUGCCAUUCUUAUCCAAGUGUGCAUGUUUCAGUUUUGAGCCUACGUUACCGAGUCAUCCUGUUCGACGCCCGCAGGCGACAAACAGGCGAGGCGACUCACAGGGGCACUGGGCCUGCCCACUAAGUGUACUGUAGCUGAUGGCGCACUUUAGAAGAGGGGUUACAGUAGCCGCCAGGUGUACAGCAGCGGCCGGUUCACUGUGGAGACCCAAUUUUUUUUUCUGUCAGCUUUUUUUAUUUGCCUUCCUGAUUUAGUUUUCCCUAUGGGCUUUCUCUUCUUGAAUUUUUUUCUCUUUUAUAAUUUCCUGUACUAUACACCUUUUUAUAAUAUAAGGCGACUAUUAUUUAACAUACACACCGAAUAUUGUUUUAAUAUAUGUCGAAUAUCUUUUUAUUACAGUGAACUUUCCAUCAUAUAUGUUGAACUAUUUUUAAAUUCAAAUUGGAUUUUUAAUAUAAAUUGAACAUUUUAAUAAUAUUUCACUAGAAAAAUUAUACUGCAAGGUGAUUGUUUUUAAUAUAUAGUGAACAAUUCUGUACUAUAUAAUCGACAUUUUUAUAAUACACCAUGAACCUUUUUACAAUACAUAGUGAACUUGUUUUAAUAAAUGCUGAACUAGUUUUUGAAAAAAAAACACUGAACUUUUUUCUAUUAUACUGUGAAAUAUUUAUUAAUAUGCAAUAACCAAUAACAAAUUGUUCAUCAUGUGUUAAAAAUCCCAAACAAACAAAUGUACAACGUAUAUUAACAAAUUGGUCGACAUGUAGUUGAAACAUUCACCAUAUAUUAAUAAAAGAAAUGCAAAAAUUAAAAACGAAAGAAAAACUCAGGACAAAUAGCAAGAGUAAACCAAACAACAAAGAAGCCGAAAGAAAAAACAAACAAAAACCAACAAAAAAGGAACGCAAAAACAAAACAGCAAUCAAGCAACACGCUGCCACAAACUGGGCCGGCCCACCUGUGGGCGGUUCCAUUGAAGCCACUCCUAUUUAUCGCUGCAGAGGUUAUAUAGGAUCGGGCGUGACUAUAUCUCACUUACAGAGCACCUAUGUCCCGCUUGACAAAUACCAGCCCAGCCCAGCGCAAACCGGAGCAGCGCUCCUUCACUCACCCGCGCGUGCGAGGACGAAGAGGGUUGGUCAUGCUGACAUCAUCCCAAUUUAUAUUUUCUUAUUAUUGUUUUUAAUUUUUAAUAUAUUUUAAAUGUAUAUAUAUAUAAUUAAUUAUUAUUUUUAUCAAACCAUGAAUUUGAAAUAUGCUAUACAAUAUAUAAAUAUAUUAGUACAAUUAAAAAAAUUUCAGGAGAUGAAAAAAAUGUUCAAAUGCUUUAAAAACAACGCAUAAGAAAUUUUGAGAUAAGUUUCUACAAUGAAAAAAUUAGACCUGUGUUAAAGCAGAGAAAAUCAUUGAAAUCCGGCAAACAAAAAAAAUAAAAAUGAUUAAUAUAAAUAAAUAAAAGACCAGUGAAAACAAAGAAAGGACAGAGAAAACCAAUGAAAAGGCUAAAAGAAACAAUGAAAACCCAGAAACAUACGAAGAAAACCUAUGAGAAAAACUGAAAAACCGGGGAACUUGUGAAAAUAAAAGAAAAAACACAAAAAAGGGAGAAAACAAAUGAAGAUAACUGGCAAGGAAACAAGGAAACCCCGAACAAAGAAAAAGAAGGAAGAAAACAGAAAAUAUAUAGGGAAGGAAACCGAGCUAAUGAAAAAAUUCUGAAACAAUAGGUCGGCCCAGUAGCUAAACCACGGUAAAAAGGCUUCAGGCGAGACGGUAGGUGCACUCGCCCAUAAGCUAGAUAUAGGUUUUGUAACCUCGCGUCAAGGAUGUACCGGUGGGCCGGUCCUGUGAUGCCACUUGGAAUUACUGGAUGGUCCAAAUUUUUGGUAUUUUCCUUUUUAAGGUUGCUUCAUUAUUUUGUUUUAACUAUUCUAAAAAAAGUUGAAAAUAUUUAAUAUACAUGUUUUCAAAAACAUGCAUUACUUCAAAAAAUAUAUCAUCGAGAAACAGAAUUUGUUUUAACCCAAUGUAAUUGUUUUAGUUCGCAAAAGUUAAAGGAAAUGUUGAUACCUUUCAAAACUUAUGCUUCCUACAUUUAAAAAAUGCUCAUAUAUAUCAAAAAAUGUACAUGGGAUGUUUAUACAAUCUAAAAAAAUGUCCGUGUAAUUCCAAAGAAAUGAAACAAAAAAUGCUUCAGAUGUAUAAGAAAAAUGUACGAUUUGAUAGUAAGAAAGUAGACUUUGAAACAUAUAUUUUCAAAUUUUUAUCAUGUAUACAAUAUAUAAAAACGUUUUACAUGUAUAACAAGAAUGUACAAUGUGUAUGAAAACAAUAGACAUAAAAAUAUAUAUUUAAAAGAGUGUUAAUCAUAAUUAACAAUGUUAUAUAUGUAUGGAAAAUAUUAAGCGUGUAUAAAAAUGUUUCAGAUGUAUAAGAAAAAUGUACGAUGUGUACCAAGAAAAAUAGACAUCAGAACAUAUAUUUGAAAAAAUAUUCUUGUACAUGAAAAUUUUGAACCUGUAUAAAAGAAUGUUUUCAACAUAAUCCAAAAAUGUACAAUGUGUACAAAACAAUAGGCAUCUAAACAUAAAUUUGGCAAAACAUGUUGAUCAUGUAUUCAAAAAACAAUUAACAUAUAUUAAUUUUUUUAAGUAUAUGAUAAAUGUGGACACGUGUAAGAAAAAAGAAAGAAUAUCAGUAAAUUUAGUGCGAAAGAAUGGAAAUAAGUGAAAACUGAGAAAGAAAGAAAGUAUGAUGAAACAAACGAAAACAAAGAAAAUGAAAUAUAAGUAAGGAAAAAAAUGAAAGACUGAAGAAAAUCCAGUAAAACAUAGAAAGAAACAAAACAAAAUAAGAGAAAAACAAAAGAAAAAAAACCAUUAAAACCGAGAAUGAAAUGUAGAAAAUCAGUGAAAAACAAAUAGAAAACGAAGAAACCGGUGAAGAAAGAUAAAAACCGAAACUAGGAAGGAAUGGAAAGGGAAUAAGGUUGUAUUGCAAACGAGCGCUCGGAAUGGGCCGGCCCAGUAUUGUUCAGCCACAUGAUUACACGAAUAAGGUUUAAGCAAGACAUAUGCUACUCUCGCCGUAAGCAAGAUAUAGCACACGCGUAUACGAGACCUCCUCUUUGGCGCCUCUGGGGUCGGGAAGCCUACCUAGCUGUCUGGGCUGGCCAAACAAAGGAAGAAAGAUCGCUCUUGUCGGGUGGGUCGCAUAGUAGAUCAAUCGGUUAAUGGUUGACCAGUCAACCGUUCACGGGAUAGCCAUUGACCAUUUGUAUUUCUUUAAAUGGAGAGAAAUUUUGUAAAAAAACUUGGAUUUUCAAAAAGUCCAUAGACUUGAAAAUGGAAAAAGUCCAAAAUAUCAUAAAAAGCUUAUCAAUUUGAAAAAAGUUCAUCAUUUUCGUAACAGAGUUCAUGAAUUUUAAAAAAGUUCAUCGAUUUUGAAAAGAAAAGUCCAAAAUUUUUAAAACAAAACUCGCCGACUUUGAAAGAAAAGUUGAUCGUGCAUUUUGAAAAAAAUGUCCAUAAAAUUGAAAACAAAACUCACCGAUAUUGAAAAAAAUCAUGCAUUUUGAAAAGAAUUAACUUUGAAAAAAAUUCACCCAUUUUGAAAAAAAUCAUGGAUUUGAUAAAAAGUUCACGAAUUUAUGAAAAUAAAAGAAAAUAAAAAGGUGAAAAUAAUAAGGAAAGACCAAAUUAAACCGUUCGGAAAACCAGAAAAAUAAAAAACAAUAUCAGAACCUUCUAGAAGCUUCACAAACAAAUCGUAAGGUUCUAGAAGCUUUACAGAAUGGGUUGGGUCUUUUCACGAGAAAAUAAAUAGCGUUGCUGGUCUAUUUCACCCGUAUGUGGUCAGAAAGAAAAAGCUAUGUCCGCGGACCCUGUUAGCUAGCUGUGUCGUAGGGGGUGGGCACACGUUUGCUGAAACUCCUUUAAACGGUGCUACGGGCGCCAAAUAGAUUUUGGGUAGGAUCUGCCUAUGUUAACUAGUCGCCUGAAGUUCUUCUUUAGGUCCUCUCGAGCCUGGUCAUUUAGAGCCGGUCACAAGCAGUCUUCUUCCCAAAUUGACCGGCUGAAAAUUGAAACGGUAGCACAAGCGAAUGGGAUUUCCUGCCUAUCUCUUGAUUCGAUUGAAAUCGAUGAUCUGUCUCGUCUAUAGAUCGACAAUCUGUAGGCAACCGGUAUAACACCGGAACUGCACAAAAAGUUGUAAGCACCGCCUCACGCCAUUGCAUCAGCUGACAUGGUUGCACUGUCCCGAACUGAAGACCAUCGUUCAAGUAAUUGGUGCCCUACAUGCUAAAAUUCCUCCCUCUUUAAUUUUUUUUACAGAUAUAAAAUAUAAAGCCCUACCGCUGUCAUCUCAGUUUAUUAAAAAAAUUGGAACAAAUUUGGAUUGUUUGGGGAAUAUAAUGUCAUGCACCCAAGAUUUUCAGUGGUUGAUCGUUUAAAAUCAAGGCUCAUCCUAUUUCUAUUGUACUAUCUUGUCAAGACUAUAAUACAUGGAGUUCCAAUGCAUUGAUUCUAUUUUUGUUUGGUUCAAAUGCAUUAAUUUUUCAUGGCCGCUAAUCAUGAGGACGCACUUAAGAGUGGAGAACACAGAGAUUGUUGGACCUCAAUUGUGUUGCAAGUUACUUCUCAUCAUCCAGGGAUCACUUAAGGAUUAUAUGAGCCCACUUGAUAUUCUUGAGUUUCUGAAGAAGUGCCCCUUCUAUCCUAACAAUGCUAUAAUUGCACACAUAAUUUUGUUAACCAUUCCUAUGAAUGACAGUUGCAUUUGCGGAAAUAAGCUUUUCUAAACUCAAGUUGUUGAAAUCAUACAUGUGUUCUACUAUGACAGAAGAAAGAUCCAAUGGAUUGGCAACAAUAGCACAUGAAAAGAUGUCUUCGAGAAUAUUAAUUAUGAACACUAGUUAUCAGCCCGUGCUACAGCACGGUCUAGCAUCUAAAAUAAUCAGAUGACUUUGUCUGUAAAAACACUACUUGUAAAAAGCAGGUUGUUAUGAAUACCAAAACUCAAGGCCCUGUAGGCUGUAAGGGACUUCUGAAUGAGAAAUGGGGGAUUGCAAUCAGAAACUGUAUUUCACGAACAUCAUAUGAUAUAAUUUUUCUCCUCCAAGUUUUGGAGGAAUUAGACGAUGAAAUCGAAUGUCAUGCAAUGUUUUCUAUAAGAGUGUGAAUAUAACUUCUAUCUUUAUCUGUUUUCUCUUUUAGCAGGUAGCACAUAUUUUUGAGGUAAUUCAUGUCUUUUUUCCUACGCAAAAUUUAAACACUAAUUUCAAAGGAAUGCAUGCGUUUGAUAUUCUUGUAUUGGUCGACUGGCCAUGUAAUUGUAAUUCAGUCUGCCAGUUAAAAAAUGUGUUCCAAAGUGGCCCUGUAUAUUGAUACGAUAUAUUAUGGUAGAUUAGAAAAUAUAUUGUUUGCCUUGGUUUAUUUCUGACACUUCAGUUAUUUUUUUAUUAGACUUUUCACGUAUUUAUUGUUAUUAGAUUGACCUACAAUAUUUUUGGUGACUGUUUGACUAAAAUAUGCAUUACCCUAAUUUUGUGUGACCUAAUUAAAUAUAAACUAUAUUUAACAUUCUAAAUGAAGUAUCUUUUUUGUGUGUUCUAAGUGACAUCUUUGUAUUUUAUUUUGGUUCCUAGUUACACCAAACACAACUUGUGGAUAUUACAUAUGGCUGUGGUUUUUUUUAUAUCACAUGCAGAUUUUUUUUAGAAUGAUCACGUAAGGCUGUUGGAAGAUAGAGGCCGA
rnacentral:lncRNA from 1 species